rnacentral:lncRNA from 1 species
CGCUAAGUUUCCUAAAGGGAAUAUUGAAGAACCUCUGCGUCCGAGUUGGUACCUUGUACGCCCCAGUAGACUUCGUGGUGAUGGAGACUGGUACUGAUGAGAGGGCACCCAUCAUCCUAUGGAGGCCAUUCCUGAACACCUCGGGAGCUGUCAUCUACGCUAGUGCUGCCAAGAUCAAUUUCUACAUCAAGGCAAGGAUGGAGACGUUUUCCUUCAAGAACAAGACUGCACAAAUCUCAGAGCAAUCCCGACAUGAACCAAGGAAGAGGACCAACAGGAGGAACAGGAACAAGCAAGUGUGGACCGAGUCAGCUAAGAUGGUCACUACAGUUCAAGGAGGUCAAGAUCAUCUAUUUAAGUCACCGUUCGUGACCAAAAAGGACAACCCAAGCGUGCCAAGCAUCCAGUGCUCCAUUAAUGGAUACAACUUCGAGAAGAUGCUUUGCAACACCGAGUCAGGCGUCAACAUAAUGGCCGCAGUCACCUAUCAACUCCUGUUCGGAACCAUGCUCCUAAAAUCGAUAUACAUUCAGCUCCAGAUGGCAGAUCAGACAUUCCGAAAGGUUGAAGGUUAUUGACAUGAGAGAAGACGAAUUUGAUCUACCCAUCAUCCUUGGAAGACCGUUCAUCAGCACCGUUAAAGCAAUCAUCUACAUUGGAACUAGAGAAGUCCACAUGCACUUCACCUCUGAGAAGGUACGUCGCUGUUUUACUCACCCUAACUAUAUAGUUGAAGACUUUAAGCAGGUCAGGACAAGAAGGAGACGACACAACCGCAACCAGAGGAGGCAAAUCAUCAAGGACGGAUGGGCAGACUAUGAAGGAGAAGUAGUAAGGUCUGAAGACAUACAGCUUGAACAGAACUGUCCUGAGGAGACCGUAGCACCGAGUCAAGUGUGGAGAAAGAAGAUAGUUAUACAUGAAGAGAAGACAUCGUCGGAAUCACCGACUACGCCACCCAGCGAAUCCCAGGACGACUGAGAAAGCAGAGAGUCCCGUUCGGAGGACUUAAAAACACCGAACGUCUUGCUAAGAGGUAAAAUUGGUAGUUAUCUUUUUCCUUUCAAUUAUUUAAAAUAGUUUGCUUAGUUAAUCAGGUUCAUAUCAUCUUGAAAAGAAAAUAAAAAUGUUAAAAAUAUUAAGCCCCAUGUGAGUAUGCUCAUGGCAUAAAACCCAUAAGUACAUUCACUGUGGUGGCGUAAAAAUGAAAUAAAUAUAUUCCUGUCCUAUAAAAAUAAAUUUAUGAUCCUACUAAAGAGAGUAAUAUUUAUUAGAGGAAGCUCAACAUGAUAAAGGCUAGAUAUUUAAGCUAACACUUAACCAGUUCCACAUAGCUUUGUUGUCUAUUUGAGCUCCACAGAAUUCAAGGAUCAAAGAAGACUAGCAGACGAAGGACAUCCUAAUCGCUGUCAGGGUGCUGCCGACAUACCUCCGCAACCUGCUGGCUACAUCAGAAGAAAUUACGUCAAAAUCCAGCUUGGGGGAGAGCACCCCCAUUUAUCCAGCUAAGUAUUCUACUCACGUUUAUACUUUACUCUAAUAAUAAAAGGAUGCAUAAUCAUAAAAACCCAAAUAAAGAUUUUGUGCUUAUAUAUAUCUUUGCUUAGUUCGCUAAAUAAAUAAAUAAAGAAAGUUUGCUAUGAACCCUCAUGAUAAGCUCUCACAUGAAAAUAAUGAAUAGUUGCUCUGCCAUGACUAGUUCUCAAAAUUGAAAUCUCUCUCAAGUUUAGGCAUGACUGGUAUUAAUUAAGAUUUGCUCUAAACCUAAACUUGUGGGGAGAGUACUUGAUCUAAAGUCUAAGUCCUUAACGGAUACGAUAUGGGAAGGUUGAGCUGUUGUUUAUCUGUUCCUAGAGAUGCUAGAAUUCUGGAGAAUUUUAUCUUUGAAAAUCUUUAACAUGUUGCAUGAUGAGUUCCUGUAUGAUGAGAGUUUAAAUUCCUACCAUAGCCAUAUAUACAUGCUUGCUAGACUAUGAGCCACACAUUUACUUUACUACUUAUGAGCAUUGAGUGUAGUCAAGCUGUGUAGACCCUUAGGAGCUUGUCAUGCGGUUAAAUCAAGAUUCACUUGCACGUUCACUCACACAAGCUGCUUCUACUCCGGAAGUACGCAUCCACAUAUAUCCACCCAUUUGCAUCUCCAGAACCACCCAAAAAUAUUCUACUCCUAAUCCGGGAGAGAAUAGCCAAAAACAUUUCUAUUUUUCCCUAUGAAAUAAAUGCUCAAGUUAUCUUCGUUACUACCACUUGCUAUAUUAUUUCAGGAGAUGAGUGCUCUAAAAAAAAGAAAAAAAAGUAUACGAGGAAAAAAAAGGGGCAAGUGCCCGGAACCUCAAAAGAAAAGAAAAAGUGAGACGAGAGGUAAAAAUGGACAAGUGUCCGACAGUAGAAUUAGGGGUACAAGAUACCCACCUGAGAGAAAAAAAAAAGAAAAUAUAGAGCAUCUCAUUCUCCUCAAAAAGUUUCAAAAGAGCAAGAAAGGUAUGUAUCCCCUCAAAAGAGCACAAGUAGAAUUAGACAUUCACCAUAGUUAUCACCAUUACUUUCACCAUUAUCACCAUUCAUUCGCCACACAUCCACAUCUUGAUUUGACUUAUUGACUUGUUCUUCUGGAUCCAUGGUUUGACUAUGCAAUAACACUACUACGGAUGCGUUUACCAAUGACGAUCCCCUUUUGUCACUGAAGACCCCACAUUCGUCACAUGAAUUUUUUUGUGACGACGUUGUGACGAAAUCGUGUUCGUCAUUGAAUUGGCGUCACAUUAUGUGCACCGUGACGAAAUGACGAAACGACUGCCGUCAUAGAUAUGUUUCUAAUAUAUGACGAUUUGUUUUCGUCAUUGCUAUACCCGUCGUUUUGUCAAUACUUGCCGUUUGUCAGCCGUUGGGACACCGUUUGCCAUGUUGACAGCUGACGUGGCACGCCCACGUGGCAGUUGACUUGUCGCUGACACGUGGCAAGUGACGUGGAUCGUCACGUGGCAGAUGACGUGGCACGCCACGUGACUGAUGACGUGGCUCGCCACGUGGUUGCUGGCGUGGCUAGUGACAUGGCUGCUCCGGUGGGCUGAUGUGAGUGGUCCACGUGGCAUGAUAUGAUUGGAUUUAUUUUCGUCACAGUAGUAAUUAUAAAAUCGUCACUGGAACAAUUUGAAAAUCGUCAUAUAUUUAUAAAAAUUCUGCGCGGGUGCACAUGCUGCUUCAUUACAAAAUGCACAUAAUAUUGAAAUGACCAAAUGCUUGCAGGUGCCAUUCAACUUAGUGAACAGUACUAGUCUGGUCACAUAUAACUAACUUGACAUCACAUCUACUAGUUUCAUCAUGUUCACAUCACAUGAAAUAAAAAGAAGUGUGCCACGACCACCAACACAAGUCCUUGCACACAAACAACACCAGCAGUGAGCAAUAGGUACUAGGUGCGUUAACGGCACACAAAAUCAAGAUGCACAGAUCAGUAUCUUAGAGUGAUGCUCAUGUCGAGGAACCACCGUUGAUGGUCAACAGACGCUUGAGAAGUGCAUUGUUCUCAUCAAUGGCCUUGUUGUUGAUCUCUGUAAUCUUCUUGUACUCCUCCAACUCCUGUUGUGUCCUCGCAAGCUUUUCCUCAGCUUCUUCACUUCUUUUCUUGAGUUCAUCAAGUUCGCCUUGUACAGCAGCCGUAGCUUGAGCUGCUAGUUCUUCGCGAAGCGCUCUUUCACUUGUUGGUGAAGAUUUGGAGGCAGCCACUGGUUUGAUGCCAACACUCUUGAGGAAAAUGUUGGAGCUGUUCUGGGACAGCACCUGAGACACAACCUGCACACUUGAAACUGUAGGCUCUCCUUCAGCAGCAGGCUGUGUCCUCAGCGCUUCCAUGUUUUCCUGAAAGAACAAGGACGAAUUAGUAGGAUAUAGUUAUUGCAUUAAUUUGACAAGGAGAUAUCAGAAAAGAUGUAUUUUGAAAUAAGAAACCUAAUGUUGCAUUGACAGAAGAUUUUCCAUAUUUGAUAGUUUAGUUAAUACAAAAAGAGGGCAACAACAAACUAGAAAUUGCACAGACAACUCCUUUAGUAAAACCAGUGAGUUUAUUUGUGAAAAUGAUAUAAUUCCAUAAGAUUGAUCUAAGUCUUUCACAAGUACUACUAUACAGAAUUGAUGUAUGUAGUCUAUGAGUAAGAACUGAUCUAAGAUUCUAAGUGCUUUGACAAGUAGUAAUACACAAAAUUAACAGAGGCCACAGAAUAUAUGGAGUAUGCAUUGUUGUAAGUGGUUUUACACAGGGCAUAGAAUUGAUAUAUGGAGAUCAAGUAGUAAUGCAGAAUUUACACAGGCACAGAAUAUAUGGAGUGGAGUGCAGUAAUUAGGUGUAAACAAUUAUUUUGUUAAAUUAUGUACUAAUGUACAGAAUUGAUGUACAGAAACAAUUAGUAAGAUUUGAUGUAAGUGUUUUGACAAAGGUGACAGCUUUUGGGAUUGCAUUUUCUGACAACCUUUGCUAUUAUACAAAAAGAUCCAUAGUACAGAUAAAAGUUCUAAAAACAAAAGAAGUGCAUACAAGUGUAAAUUUUCACUUCUGCAACUGAUUGUAUCCAACUCUGGAUCAAGUUAACACACAACAUAGAUCAAAUAUUUUGAAGUCAACACUUGUGGAUAUUCUAUAGCAUAAAAUUCCAAUAAACACUAAAUAGCACUAACAACCAGGUUAAGUGGGGACUUACAAUAGCUUCUCUUGCUGGUUCAGUGAGGCCAUGUUUGGAGCUGGUAUGGCAGGCCUUGAAUGCCUCCACCGCAUCAAGUUCUUCAUUUGCGUCUAAGCUUGGUUCAACAUUGUUUGUCCUCUCCUUCUGUUUUGUAGAUGGUGAAUUACAGCAAAUAAUUGUGAGAUCAAAUGCAAAAUAACUUGUUUAGUGGAAAUAUGUACAAGGUAUAUUUUACUUACAUAUGCAUGUAAGUGUGCCACAUAGCUACGAGAACCUGUAGCCUGAUGAUACUUAACCUUAAGGCGAUUUUGCUUGUUCUUUUCACUUGAUUCCUACAAUUGAAUGAUCAUUUGACACUUGAUUCACUUGAUUUGAAUUGAAACUGAAUGAGAAAGUAAAAGUGACAAGGUACCCAUACCAUGUUCUUUGGAUCAGUCCAAUUUGCCACUAGUGCCCUCCACUGCUGAUCAGUCAUGGAUGGAACUGGAGAGGUUGUCCUAAUCUGAUCUGCGGGUACACCAAUGAAGUACUUCUUCUUGAGGCGGUAACGCAACUGUCGCACCCCGGAGCGUAGCAUAUCAGUGCAAGCUUCCUCAGUUGCCUUGUCUUCUUGGUUGAUGGCCAAUCGGCCCUAGUCAUCAGGCAAUUGCAUAAUUAGUUAGUCAAAUCAUGUUAUGCACACAUGGAAAUGAACCAUAUAAGCAAGAAAAGCACUUACAGAUAGCUUUCCCACAAAGUUUUUGUAAUACUGCUCAUCUCUCUUGUAAUGCUUCCAAUGAGUUAGGACUGGAACCUUGUCUCUAAUGAUGACCCCAGCCUCAGAUGCAAACUUUGCUGCUUGAACAGGUUCAUGUGGCCUUCUUUUGCCUUCUGCAACAGCUAUGGGCAUCCUCCUUCCCAUAGCUUUGGUCAUCUUAGUAAGCUGUGAUCCAAAAGUGGGUGGCCUGGGCCUCCUUGGGGCUCGCUCUGUCGGACCUACAAAACAGAAGUUGAAUAUAAAGAAUUAUGUUUCAUUUAAGUGUGCAAAAGAGAUGACAUAUUUGAGUUACAAUGAAACUUUUACUUGCCUUCAUUGUGAUCUUGUUCUUGUUCAUUGUCUUCAUCAACACUUGUAGUGUCUUGAGCAGCACCUACACUUUCUUCCUCUGCAGCUGUUGUCUCCUGAGCAGGAGCUGCAAUGCCUGAUUCAGCAGGUGUACAAGACCUUCGUGUUGUUCCUUCUUCAGUCUGCCCUUGUGUUGCUAACAAAUGAAGCCUUUUCGACGUUCUUGUCUGUGAUUGAGGAGGUUGCACCUCUGAUCCUUCAGCCCUGACUCUCUUGCUAGUCAUUGAUCCUGGAGCCAUCUUGUCACCUGUCUUCUUCCUCUUUGAAGCUCGGCCUCUAGGACUAGGAGUAAACCCUGGAGGAUACUGUGGAAAAAAACAAGUGUCAUACAGAUGAAAAAUGAAUUCAUAUUAUGCAGAUAUGUGAAGUAGGAAUUAUUUGAUUUUAAGGAACAAGAAUUUGGUCAUGCUCAUGCCAUAUCACCUACAGAAUAGCUCAUUGGAAACACUUUUAAUAAAUCUAGGGAAAACUAACUUAUGUAUUUACCUUUGUUGCUAGGGGUUGUGGCUGAUCAUCAGAUUCAGUGUCAUCAUCAUCACUUUCUCCUUGAUCAUCACUGUCAAGGAGAUACUCCAAUGAAUCCGAAUCUUCACUACUUGAUUUCUUGUUUGCUGAUUUUUUCCCCUUUUUUGAUGAAGAUUGAGGUAAGGAGUUAUUAAAAUCAUUUGCUAAUUUUUUCAGACCCAUUUCUUCCAUCCUCUUUUCUACCGCCGCCACUUGUGCAUCCCUCCUUCUCUCAUAAUCAUUUUUUGGAGGUUCUUACAAGAAGAAGCAAAUUGUGUGUAUUAGAGAAAAAAAGGAGUGAACUAAGAUUUAAUACUACAUGCUACAAAGAUAAGUGGUACGAAGUAGUUCAUAUAGAUUGUAGUUCUUUAGAUUAAUUACUUUGAACUAUUACUACUUGCAGUUAGGAUGAGUAGAAUAGUAGGGAGAAGAGAGAGGAGAGUAGUAGAAGAGUAGAGAGGAUAGUAGUAGAAGAGUACAGAGGGAGAUUUGGCUACCAUAGAGAGUACUAGCACAAGCAGAGUAGGGAGGAGAAGAGAGAAGAGAGGAGAAAAUAGUGUUUCUGUACAUUACUUUGAAGUACUACUACUAAUAGUAGGGAUGAGUAUAAAGUAGAGAUGAUAAGAGAGAGUAGAGUAGUUGAAGAGUAAAGAGGAGAGCAGUACAAGAGUAGAGAGGGAAGAGUUGGUGGCCAUAGAGAGUUGCAGCAGAAGUAGACUAGGGAGGAGAAGAGAUAAGAGAGGAGGAAAUAGUAGUUAAAGUAGUCCUAGUAUUAGGAACAUCCACUGCAUAGUAGUAGUGUGGUAGUAGUAGUAAGUUAGUACCUGUCGUAAAGACAGUUUCACAAGAUUAUACACUAACAGGGAGCUGAAAACAAUCAAAACUCCAAAAUUAGACACUAAGUGACCUGGUGCUAAAAACAAUCAAAACUCCAAAAUUAGACACUAAGUGACCUGGUGCUGAAAACAAUCAAAACUCCAAAAUUAGAAGUUCUCUUUGAAGCAAAAAUUCUUUGCAACCUUGGCAAAAGUGGAAAAUACCUCAACACCUUGUGUGGAAUCCGCUUCGCCCCAGUUCCAUCUUUCCAUCUAGACGCCUUGCAUACUGGGCACACAUCCUCCUUUUCAUACUCCUUCCGAAACAACACACAAUUAUUCUCGCACACGUCAAUGUUUUGAAAUCCAAGGCCCAACUCUUUAAGAUAUUUCUUCGCCUCAUCAUAUGAUUUUGGCAAAUCACUCUGAGGGUAUCCUUCUGACAACAGCUUCAUGAUUACGGAAAAUGCUCCAUUGCCAAUUCGAUAACGAGACUUGAUAUACAGCAUCCUCACCAGAAAAGAGAAUUUAGAAUGCCUAGAUCCCGGGCUAAGAGACUUCUUCGCAUCUUCAAGGACUCUAGCAAACCUUGGUUGUUCUCCCUGAGCCUCUGCAAAAGAAUACAACUCUCCUAUCAUCUCUGGUACUCCGUGAUCCUCAUCAUAGUCAUCAUCGGCCAUAUCCACAUUUAUCCCAAAGUCAUAAUCCCUUCCUUCGACCUCCUGCCGGUCCAAAUUUUCAACUACUUCAACAUCUGCCGACUCCCCAUGCUCAAUCCACCUGGUAUAUGUAGCUGACAUUCCAUAAAUGUGUAGAUGGUCGCUUACAUCAGGCUGAGACCACAAUUUUUGAUUAAGACAUCGCGUACAUGGGCAAAGUAUCUGGCUGUCUUUGGAAUAUCUUUCGCUCACAAAUUUCAUGAACUCUUCAACUCCUUUCAUAUAUGUAGGUGUGAAUGGUGCUCCAAAAAUCCAGCUUCUAUCCAUCUGUUCUGAUAAUAGAAUAAAUGUUGUACGCAGUCCGUAAAUUACAGUAAUAAAUUUAAAAAAUAUUCAAACGCACAUCAAAGACAUGCAUACAUGUAAAAAAUGAUAAAUAAAUGAAAGCUUCUACUCGGCAUAAAUUUAGCCAUUUACGAAACAACAAAAAAUAUAAAUGGUUCUUCCUAUAUACAUGCAUGUACAAAAGGUAAAUGGGGUAUGUAUACUGUUCUUUUUUCUAACAAUUACUAUCAGCAAGUUUGAGAAGCUAAUAAAUUCUAAUAUCAGCUACAACCACAUUCACUUUAAGAUGUCAUACGAAGAAGGAAAGAUUCACUAUUUAGUCAAUUAAUUUUAAUGAUUACAUACAUAUAUGUUCACUAUUUACUUUUAGUCAAUUAGAUAGAUAUAUAUUCACUAUUUAGUCAAAUAAUUUUAAUGAUUAUGCAGAUUUGAACUGCUUAUUUAGAACGGACAAAGUCCAAAAAAAAAACAGUACAUACAUUUGCCAAAUAGUACUAAACUCUGGUCAGAUCACGCACUCAUGAAACUAAUGCUGCUAAAUCUGAAUAAUAAUAAUAACAAAAACGAGGAGAAAAGAAAAAGAAAAAAAAGAAGGGCAAGAGGAUCACCUGGGGACGCACGUCGAUCACCUGGAAGACUCGCCGCCGAUCAGCUAGCUUGGAUGCACGGCGUCGAUCCACGAGGACCUGGGGACGCGUCAAUCACCGCGGAGGCACGACGUCGAUCAUCAGGCGAUGCAAGGCUGCUACGUAGCCGGCCGCCACGAUCGCCCUCGCGCGAGGGUUCUCUACACCUCGCGUCCUCGCGUCUGUCUUCUGCGUCGUCUCGUUGUUGGGCCUGCCUUGACGUCACAGCCCAACUCGUGGGUUCGAUAACUAAACAAAUAAAACAAAAAAAUAUACUACAACACAACCGACUGAGUGGUCUAGUGGUAACCUGCCUCUUCCUGCAGCAGCAAGUCGCCGGUUCGAAGCUCCCAGGGAGCAAAUUUUUUUGCCAAAUAAAAAUUAGAGAGCCCUCGCAGCAGCUUCGGCCCCGCAUGGCCACGUCAGCGACGUGGGACCCGCUAGCAGGACCACGCCGGUGGGACGCAGUCGCCAUGUCAACGGAGUGGGGCCCAUGUCAGGACUGCUGGACCCACCGGUAGGACCAUGUGCCACGUCACUACGGUGGGACCUUCUGGUGGGACCAUAGUGCCACAGGUGGGACCAUGGCACCAUGUCAUGAACAUGGGGCCCACUGGUCGGACCCCAACCCCUCCGGUACACUGGCCAAACCAUCUAUGACGAUUUAGUUUCACUAUUUAGUGACGUUGAUUCUAUUUUCCGUCACUGUUCUUCGUACCAAAGCUCCGUCCCUUAUCAAACAUGACGAAGCUACUAAUUUCGUCAUAGAAUAAACUAGUUCUAUGACGAAAAUAGUUAGCGUCAUUAGGUAUUCGUCAUUGAUUAACACAUUUCUAGUAGCGUAAAUGUCAUGUAAGUAUGUAUUAGCUGUCUCCCACCUAUGAGCUCCAGAUAUCAAAACCUUAUUAGAGUAGGAUGAGAGAGAAGGCAAUGCCACUAUGCCUCAUACCAAAAAUACCACAUACUUUGAGAGAAGGCAUACACCAUCACUGUCUUGGUAAGGAUCCAGAAAUACUACAAAAGAGAGACUAGAGAGAGUCAUACAAGGAAUCUCUGAGUUUUAUUUGAAAAUCUGCAAAAACUCCAGAGCUAUAUUUAAUCGAAGAACAAGAGACAUGGCGCUUGACUAGACCAUUCUAUCUUUUAACUACUCAAGACACAAGUGACGGUUGCAAGCCCCAUGGUGGAAGGUAAAAUGAGUAAUUUUAAAUCUUAAAAGUUUACCCUAACCCAGAGAUGAGAUCUUGUUUGAACGCAUGUAUAUCUUUAAGGCAUGAAACCACUGCAGAAACUCUUAAGUUCAUCUUUGCUCAGGGACGAGCAAAGGUUAAGCUUGGGGGAGCUUGUUGACGGUCCUUAAUGCUUACAUUUAACCAUCAACUUAUCAUAGAAAAUGAUCCAAAUGCAACCAACACCUAGACUUAGGGUUUUAUCUGACAGAAUUCCACGAGUUUUGGUGUUUGUCUAUUUCUGCAGGGGGUUAUCAGGAAAUAUGAAAAAAAGGCCCACACGUCGGGUUUACAUAGAGAUAUUAACGUGCCGCGCAAUUUUCUACCAUCUAGAAGACUCCAGAAGCCACAGGAACGAACGGGAGGCCGAUCGGGCCCGGGGGCACGGCGCCCGCCCAAGUCCCUUGGGUGCCCGCCCAGCUACAGUAACCAAUCACCUUCAACUUCGUGGAUCGUGCUCCACCGACCUAAGGAACCAUGGAAAACCAUGCGAUUAAUGUCGGUUUGAUCCGAUGGCCCAGAUUCAUCUGAAAAGACUAUAUAAGCAAGGCCCCCUGGCCCUUGGAGAGCAUACCUCUUCUACAGAAUCAAAGUUAGGGUUUCAAUUCUUCAUCCAAGUAGAGAGGAUCCCUCUAGUUCUUCUAGUUCUACCUCUAGUUCAUCUAGAUCUAGUUCUAGUUCAUCUAGUUCUAGUUCCUCUAGUUCUAGUUCUAGUUAGUUCUAGUUGUAAUCUAGAAAAUAGGGAGAGAGAAGAGGAGAGCGGAGGAGGAGGAGCCAGAUCUGUCGGAUCUUCCUCAACAUUGUACUUUUGCAGCAACUGGUUCGUUCUUCAUCGUUCUCCAGGUUCUUCAAUUCAUAAUUCCUAAGUUCUUUAAUUACUUUUAUUUACAUUCAAGUUAUUUAUUGGAUUCCCGCUUGCAUCAAGUGCUCUAAUCUUUGAAACAUUAGAGUAGUAAUUAAUAGAUUAGACGUGGUGUUUAGUCUUGCAAUUACCUGGAAUUGCACCCAAUCCUGCGGAUUGUUGUUGUCGAGGGUAUCAACAAGGGGUACCCUCAUCGACGCGAAUAACGAAACCAUCCGUACAUAAAACUAGCGCCUCGAUUCGACGCUCCGUCCGCACACACGCACGACCAUCGACGACCGUAGCCUCGAAGACGGAAAUAGCGUCGAGCGAAUCAAUCAGGCGUCGAGCUCUGGUCAACGUCGAAUACGGAACAGGCUCCCGCGAAUCGGGAGGCGUCGAGCGCAAGGACGCUGCCGCCGCCUAACGCGCGCACGCGGGCCAGGGCAUUAAAUGCGCCUGGUGCCUCCCCACCUAACACAUGGGUCACGGGGGGCGUGAUAGAGAACAGGCACCUAUCCCAUCGAUCUUUUUGCAGCCUUCCCCACCAAACGGCCCAAGGCGUGUCAGGACGUGGGAAACAGAGACGGAGUGUCUAAUCAAGACCCCCUCGAGAUGGCCAAAGUCAGCGCUCCAACAUCAGGACGUCGUACGGCGUCCGACCCUCGACCAGAUAGAGAUCCAUCCAGGAGACAAGUCGGGCGUCGACUGACCACAUCCCAACUGCUCCGCCGGAUUUGCCGUCGGGUCGUACGAGCGUACAUCAGGCAAAUCAAUCCAGGACGGCGUGCAGAACGGAAUGCAAGGGCACGCGUAAUCAUCACCAGGCUAUUAAGACGGGACGACUCGAGGCCAUGCCGGUACGGAAGCCUCGAGUAGGUCAGCGCUCCAUACUGCUAUCGACUCCUAUUCUGACGCCUAUACAUGUACCCUGGGUCUCUCCUUGGGACUAUAAAAGGAGGGACUCAGGAAUAGAACGGAGGACGAGACCACGCUCAUAUGCAGUAGAGCUCCCCACUUCAUACCACGCUUGUAUUCACCCCUGUACGAGCACUUAGGUGCAAGAUAAUACAAACUCUCUCCCCCCGCUGGACGUAGGGCCUUCUCUUGCCCGAACCAGGAUAAAUCUCUGUGUCUUCUUGCAUCACCAUCCGGGAAAGGGAGCACGCAUACAAAUUUACUCGUUGGUGUGACCCCCCGGGGGAAAAACACCGACAGUUGGCGCGCCAGGUAGGGGUCCUGCGUGUUUUUUCAUCGAUUUCCCACUCCUUUCCGGAUGGCUACUCUUGCCUCGCCGUUUCCGCGCUCCACGGUGAUUUGGUUUGGGAGUCUCGAGUUCAUGUCUACGGGCUCUGGCUACGACAUGAUCUUGCUCUCAGUCAAAGGACCAGGAGGAGCCCGCGUUACGCCAGCACGGUUGAAGGCCCCGAGACGCCCUCACCACCAUGCCUCCACGCCUAAGAAGAGGCGCGGACAGCACCACCGCGGCCCCUCUGCUUCAGCACGACCAACAACUCGUGCGAGGCAGGACGUAGGCCACAAGUCGGCAGCACCGUGUGACGGAGCAACAAGCGCGACGACUCAGCACCGCGCGACGACGGGAGGGGACGCGUCUCGCGCGCUCUCCCCCACCGCUGCUAUGCUACUUCCACACGGGUUGUUCACUCCAAGAGCGGCACUGCCGUUCGGAUUGGACAACGCCGCGGCGUCGCUCGCCAGGGCGAUAUGCCCAAACGCCCAGACGUACGUAGAAAGACCAAUGGUCCUCCCACGUAGCUCUGAAGCGCGGCGGCCGGCGUCCGAGCUGCCGGACCUUUCCCGGGUACGAGGCCUCCGUCGUCUAGGCCCCGGACGAUACUCGAUCACCUCCCUCAGGCAGCGAUUGCUGGAGGAAGGACGUGGGUGUUUCUACGCCGCCAAACCAGACUCCGACUCCGAGACAGAUAGCUAUGACCCUACGAGGGAAUGCUAUCACAUCGACGGGGCGGUAGAAACUACCGACGAGACACGGGAUGCUGCUGCGGGCGGUCGAGCCCCCACGGCGCGAGAAGACCCCAGGACGCCUGGCAACGACGGACAGGUCGACCCCCCUCCACAGGAAGACAGAACCGCGCAGCUCGCGCAGCUGCGGGAGCUCAAGAUGAAGCUCGACGAAGACCGCGAGCGCCUCGUCCUGCUCGAGCAAAUCCUCAAGCAAGACCUGCCCUACCCGCCGGGCGAAAGUGUCCGCAGACGCGCUCGAGAGGUACAUCGACACAUCGUCGGCGACGCAGAGCCAGAGCAACCUGUCAGCCGUUUCCCUCGAGCAGGCCAGAAUGUAGUGGCAGCGACGAUGCUGCUACGUAACAUGCCAGAGCCGUCGAAUUCCCAGGCCCGACGCAUUCGAGAUGAGGUACAGACAUUGCUCCAGGUGGCGGCGGUUCAACAAGCCGAAAGUUCGGCAUCUCGACGAUGAGGAGCUGCCACAGAGAAGCGCGACGAACAGCCUCUAAACGAAAAGGAGGUGUCAGUCCAUCAACAACCUCCCCCUCGAGGCAGAAAGACCGCUCUCAUCCUCCCCGUCGACAAUCAGCGUCGACACGACGCGCGGCACGACAUCGAAGAAAAUCGACGCCGCCGGCACGGAGACGCGGAAGAGCGCGGUUACAGCGCGCAUCGCGGUGGGAGAUACGACAGCGACGAGGACCGGGUGGCCCCCGAGCCACCAGGCCCACGGGUGUUCAGCAGGGCGAUCCGCAGCACGCCCUGCCCAAUCCAUUUCGACCCCCGACCAGCAUCGCAAAGUACAAUGGAGAGACCAAACCAGAGUUGUGGCUGGCCGACUUCAGGCUGGCCUGUCAGCUAGGUGGCGCUCGAGGUGAUGAUCGAGCCAUCAUCAGACAGCUACCCCUUUUCCUCUCCGACACCGCCCGUCGAUGGCUCGAGGAACUCCCUGCCAAUCAGAUCCACAGCUGGGUUGAUCUGGUCAGAGUCUUCGAGGGUAACUUCAAAGGGACCUACAUACGGCCAGGGAACUCGUGGGACCUCAGCAAGUGCAAGCAGAAGUCAGGAGAAACUCUUCGAGAGUAUGCUCGACGCUUCUCGAAGCAGCGCACUGAGCUGCCGCACAUCCCUGACCACGACGUCAUCUUGGCGUUUGUCUCGGGCACCACCAGUCGAGACUUGGUGCGGGAAUUAGGUCGCAAUCGACCUCAGACCGUCGACGAGCUGAUGGACGUAGUAGCCAACUACGCGGCAGGGGAGGAGGCAGUCGGCGCCUUCUUCAGCUCAGAAGGAAGAAAAGGCAAGCAGCCUGUCGACGAAGAUGGGACCCCCAGUCGAGGCCUCAAGAAAAAUAAAAAGAAGCAGAAAGUGCGGCAGUUCCACCGGGAGGAUUCCGAUGACAACCUUGUCGCCGCCAUGGAUCGAAAGAAGCCUCGAGGCCCUCCGGAUGGAGGCAUCUUUGACAAGAUGUUGGAGGAGCCGUGCCCUUACCAUAAGGGAGGCGCCAACCACAAGCUCAAGGACUGUCGUAUGCUGAGAAAGCAUUUCGACGGUCUGGGGUUCAAAAAAGAUGCGCGUGAUGACUCUAAGAAAGAGAAGGGUGGCAGCAAGGAGGACAACAAAGAUGACGACGGCUUCCCCGCCGUCCACGACUGCUACAUGAUCUAUGGCGGGCCCUCGACUCAAUUGACCACGAGGCAGCGCAAAAGGGAGCAUCGCGAAGUCUUUGCGGCAAGAAUGGCGGUGCCCCAGUACCUUAGCUGGUCAAGCACUCCUAUCACUUUCGACCGAGAGGACCACCCCGACAAGGUAGUCGCCCUAGGCGUCUACCCGCUCGUCGUCGACCCCAUCAUCGUCAACACCCGACUCUCGAAAGUGCUGAUGGAUGGUGGCAGCAGCCUCAACAUCUUCUACCUCAAGACCCUCGACCUCCUCGGCAUCGAUAGAGGACGCCUCCAGCCAAGCGCCGGCGGUUUCCAUGGCGUCGUGCCAGGGAAAAAGGCACUACCAGUAGGUCGAAUUGACUUACCGGUCUGCUUCGGCACAGCGGCCAACUUCAGGAAGGAGACCCUCACCUUUGAGGUGGUUGGGUUCCGAGGCACGUACCACGCCAUCAUCGGGCGCCCGGGCUACACCAAGUUCAUGGCUAUACCCAACUACACCUACUUGAAGCUGAAGAUGCCCGGUCCCAAAGGCGUCAUCACUGUCAGUUCCUCCUUCGAGCACGCGUACGAGUGAGACGUCGAGUGCGUCGAGUACGGGGAGGCGGUCGAGAGCUCCACCGAGCUCGUUGCGAAGCUCGAGGCCCUGGCCGCUGAGGCUCCAGAGCCUAAGCGCCAUGCGGGCAGCUUCGAGGCGGCAGAAGGAACCAAGAAGAUCCCGCUCGACCCCAACAACUCAAGACGGCAAAGUGCUGACGAUCAGCACCGACCUCGACCCCAAAUAGGAAGCUGUGCUCGUCGACUUUCUCCGUGCAAAUGCUGAUAUGUUAGCAUGGAGUCCCUCGGACAUGCCAGGCAUACCGAGGGAAGUCGCCGAGCACUCCUUGGAGAUUCGAGCCGGUUCCAAGCCAGUGAAGCAGCGGUUGCGCCGAUUCGAUGAGGAGAAGCGCAAGAUCAUUGGCGAGGAAGUCCACAAGCUUUUGACGUCCGGAUUCAUCAAGGAGGUUCAUCAUCCCGACUGGUUAGCAAACCCUGUAUUAGUUAAGAAAAAGAAUGGGAAAAUGAGGAUGUGUGUCGAUUAUACUAGUCUGAAUAAAGCAUGUCCAAAAGUUCCUUUUCCAUUGCCACGCAUUGAUCAGAUUGUCGAUUCUACCGCGGGAUGUGAGACCCUUUCUUUCCUCGAUGCAUAUUCUGGUUACCACCAAAUAAAAAUGAAGGAGUCCGACCAGCUUGCGACCUCUUUCAUCACGCCUUUUGGGAUGUAUUGCUACGUGACCAUGCCAUUUGGGCUUCGAAACGCGGGAGCCACGUACCAACGUUGCAUGCUCCACGUAUUUGGCGAACAUAUAGGGUCAACGGUCGAGGCCUACGUCGAUGACAUUGUCGUCAAGUCAAAGCGACGAGGAGACCUGAUCCAGGACCUCGAGAUUGCCUUUAGCCAUGGGACACCACCUCCAUGUCAUAGGAGAAGCCCGAGCAGACAACCCGAUGUGGAGGGCGUCCCGCACCCGAUCUCGCAGCAUCGCGCCUAUGUAGCACAACUGGUCGACCAGGGCGUCGCCUCGAGCACCCUCCCUCGACUCAUCCAUAGGCUCGACCUCCCAAGAGGUCGAGAGAUCACUUAUCGCCGUCCGCACUCGACGGUUCAAAGCAACCUCCGCUUUGAGCUGAGCCUUGGCGUUGCGAGCCUCGGCUUGGGCGGCCAGGAGUUCGUCCUUGAGCCCUGUAAAGGGCAAUACAAGGUACUUUAGCAAAAACCAAACACGCCUUGAAGAAGAAAUCUAGCGACAGGAACAUACCACGAACGCUCUCCUCCAGGGCCGUGUUCUCGCCGACCAGUCUGGUGUUGGCACGCUCGAUCUCCCUGUUGGAGCGCGCCAGCUCAGUAUUGGCAACGCGGAGAUCUUCGAUCACCUUGCCGGCCUGAGCAAUGGCACCACUCUUCUCCAGCAAUUCCCCCUUCAGACGCUCGACGUCGUCGGAGAGACUGCGGGAUCGAGCCCGCUCCACCUCGAGGUCUUCGAGGGCCUUCUUCUUUACAUCCUCGGCGGCGCCCCUGGCGACCUCACUGUCCACAUACGCCACCUUCAUCUUUCGGAAAGACUCUCGGAGAGAGUCCAGGUCGGAUUUAAGGAGGUCCUUCUCCUUAUCCAAAUCCGCGAUAACGUUCUUAUAGGACAGGGCCUCCUCCCUGACCUUAGAUGCGACCUCCUCGACCGUAAGGGCGCGCUCCCGCAACAGCACUGUCUCCUCCUCUGCCUUCUUCGAGGCCUCUCGAGCCUCGGCCAGAGCAGCCUCCCUCACCUUUUUCUCCUCCUCGAGUGCUAUGAGUUCUUUAUAAGCUUUCAGGAGCUUUUCCUGCGACUCGAGGAGCUGGUCUUUGAGGAGGGGGAGCUGCUCCCAACCGCCCCUCGUGGCGUGUAUGAAACUGGACUUGAUGCGGGAAGUCUCUUUCAUAUCCUGCGAGUCAAGGGUCGGGUGGAUUAGAAUACAAAAACCAGAAAGCACCAUGAAGAUUGAAGUUCGAGAAACACUUACAAAAUAAGCCGGGUCGAGCCCGUUGUUGAUAACGUCCGAGAGGAGCCCCACCACAUGCUUCAUCCAAAGGCGGAGCUCCUCGACGUGUUCCCACUUCUCCGCCUCCUUCCGAUCGUCAAGGAAGAUGUCGGGCUCAGACGGGUCGUGGGAGGCCCGGAUACGGAUGCGAUCGGGGCACCAGUCCUCCAUCUCCCGGUCAGCCCGCGCCUUAACGCCGCGGAUGAGGUCCUCGACGGUCUCGAGAGAACCCCCAUGGCGCAGGAACAGGUCGACGAGGCAUGGGAACCGUCCGUCGUCGUCCACCGUCUUCCAGGUUCCGUCCUUGGUCCCCGACGUCCCAAUUUCAUCCUCCUCGGAAGGAAAGCGGUCCUCCCACGCCCGACGUUCCUGUAGGAACCCUGGGGCGAUCCCGUCCAUGCCGUAAAUUGUCCUCUUGAUCUCGGACUCGGGGUCGGGGGGGUGCGCUUCAGGCAGGCGAGCGCCACCACUCCAUCCGCUCGCCCCGGCUCUGCCCGGAUCGCGGCAGGUGCCCCGGGGAGGAGCCACGCCGGGGUUGGAGGGUCGUACACCGGCAGAUCCUCCUCCUGCUCGCCGAGCUCUUGCGGCUCCGGUGGCACUGGCUGGGCCGGACCUUGGGGCGGAGGCUCGAGCAAUCCCUCCUCUUGGCCCCCCUGCUGCUGCUGCUGUUGCUGCUGCGGUUGUUGCUGCUGCUGCUGCUGCGGUUGCUGUUGCUGCUGCUGUUGCUGUUGCUGCUGCUGCUGUUGUUGUUGCUGCUGUUGAUGUGCCUCGUGCUCCUGUGGCUGCCGCGCCGCCUCGCGCUCCCGCUGUUCAUCCUCCUCCCUCUUCUUUUUCUGCUCCUCGAGGGUGCGGAGGCCGGCGGGCCAGGGAGUUGAUCCCGCGACAUGAGGGGUCGACGUUUCCUCCUCCAUGGGGCGGGCACCCCCAGACGCUCUGUUACCAUCAGACGUGUCGCUGAUGGUGAUGGGUUCCCCCUCGACCCCCAAUAAAGGGGGCUCGGGGGCUCCCUCUGACGUUUGCGUCUGGGGCGCCUCACCACCAGUCGACGGCGACGGGGUAGGCACAGGACGAGCCGGGGCCCUCUCGACGCCGGCUGGAGGUUGAGAGUCGGAGGAGCCUACAAAGCGAAAGGUAAGGGCCAGACGAUAUAGUAACCAACACGAGGGCCUCACAAGACCCAGAAGUAAAUUACGGACCUGUUUCCUUGGAGGCGGCUCCCGUUUUGAGCCUCUUUGCCAUAGAUGGCUGGGCCUGCUCGAGGGUCCGCUUCAGCCUGAGAAAAGAUCGCUAUAUGAGAAAAGAUCGGCAGAGGAACAGGAAGACAGAAGCCACAACAUCGAAAGGGCUUACCCCACAGGGAGAACAGCUCGCCUCCCGCCUCCCCGACUAGCGGGCCUCGAGCCACCCCGCGUCAGGGCUCUAGGUCCCUCGAGGGCAGGCGCCGCCCCAGGCGCGUCGGUUCCCGCCUGACGGGCACCGGGACUAGCGCUCCUGCGGCCGGCCCCUCCUUUCUCGGGGGCCGCGGCGCGACCACGAGUCAGUGGCCCCUUCGCCUGGGGCCUAGCCUGACCGCUCUCUCUGGGCGCUGGGGGAGGGCGCGGUGCGUCUUGGCCCGUCUUGGGUGCAGGAGGUGUGUCGGCCCGAGGGCGAUGAGAUCCGCUCGGACCCUCCCUCGACGUCUCCGUCCGGGGGGCGUCGACGUCGCCUCGAGACGGGCCCUCGAGGAUCCGGUCGAGACGUGACGCCAUCCCCUCGGAAUCAUCACUGUCGUCGUCGUCGUCAUCAUCAUCAUUGGGGGAUUCUUCCUCAGGCUCCCCCCUCUGCCUGGAUUUGGCCCGACGCGCCUCUAACGCUUGACGGUCGAGGUUCUUGUUCUUCUCCCCCUUCUGGGCAGAGUCCUUAGCGGACUUUAGCUUUUCGGCAGAUUGGCGCCGUUUAUCACGGUCGGCCUCGUCCUCCUUUACCAGAGGCCUCGAGGACCGGACGUCGAUCCGUACCUGUCAAAAUAAAGGCAGACUUAGAAAAGAAAGGGAGAGGGGAAGAAAAGGAACCCGGAAUCGAGGUUGCACGCAAGAAGAAAACAUACCAGAUCUAUCGAGCCGGCGUCUGGCCUCAUGGGGAAGCCGUUAACAUGCUCCGGCUGAAAAUCGCCGGCAAUUGCAGCCCUGACUCGGGCCGCGACUUCGUCAUCCGCCGGAGCUUCGUUUGACAUCCGGCACGCCUCGAGGUCCCGAGAUGAAACGCCGGGGCCCAUCUCGUCCAUCCUCAACGGCCGAGACAUCAAAGGGAGAACUCUCCGAUGAUGAACGGCCGAGAGAACGACGGCGGCGGUCAAGCCCUCCGAACGCAGCUUCUUCAUGACGUCGAGGAGGGGGUCGAGUCGAGAUUGGUGAACUUGGACGACGCCGUACGUCCAAUUCUCCGGUCGCUCCGUGAUCAAGCGUCCGGUAUAGGCGGGCAGCAGGUCGUCGUCGUUCCUCAGGUAGAACCAUUGGGAGUCCCAACCGGCGUGGUUGGUCGACAGUCCCAUGUCGCACCCAGUUUUGAUAACAAAACCAAGUACUUGAAUAUGUGCGCCCAGGAUGUCCAAACACACAUAUUAUCACAAAUUGUAAAUAUAUCAAAGUAAAGUACUUUAUUACAUCGCUUAUUCAACUUAAAUAUCUCACAAAGUCUUGCUCAUAGCAACAUUAUUACAUAAAACGGAAAGCUAAGCCCUUGUUGCCACAGGGACACCAACUGGUGAACACUAGCUCUCUAGAAGUCCUGGACAUCUUCAGGGAACUCCUCAGUACACACAUCUGUUACCCAUCCGGGAUUUUCAUUGAAAUAUGAACAAGUGUAAGCGCACCAUGCUUAGCAAGUAUAACAUAGGGGUAUAUGAAGGCUCAAAGGCUUGACUCGGUUUAACAGCGGUUAGCAUUUUAGUUGGUCAUAUAUUUUUUUUACCAAGACUUACUACUUUUAGUGAAUGUCCAACCCUGGUUACAUAUGAAUUAAUCAAAGUUAUUAUAAUCCCCAAAUAUAACCAAGUAACCGCUAACCAAGAAGGAUCCAGGCCGCUCAUGACCGAGAGCUCGACUGUUAUAACAGGUUUUAGAUUUCUGCAGAAAUUGUACAACUUUACCCCCGAGCCGUGGUUCCUUAGUGUCGGGGUUUGCAAGGCCCACACCACUUCUACCGAGGAAGUGUGACCGGGUCCCACUACGUAACCUUUCACUAGUCACCCUAACAAAAUAGUAGCCGCGAGGUUUCAGUGGCAAGUGUGCAUAGACGACCUCCUUCGAGAGGCACAUGUGGUCGCGGCACUGUACACACCAAGGUAGGAGUGACAUCUAUACACCACGAGGCACCCCCCUCUAGCGCCUUUCGGUAACUACUAAAUUGCUAGAGACAUACUAGUUAUAUGAUUAAGGUCAGAGCCAUUUGACUCUCGGGAUUGUACGUGUCCUCCUGGGUGGCCGCUUCAGGAUUAAGUCCUUAUGGAGAGGAAUCUAGAGCUUUCAAACCCAAGCUCUAGCCCCCUGAACCAAGUUACUAGAACAUAUUUUAUCAUGUUGCAUACACCAAUUUAAUCAGAUUAAUUUAUUAACUUGAGUUUUGAGCAUAGCAAGCAACUACCUACAUAGAUGCACACCUUCCCAUGGGUAACAAGGAUUUGUGGUACAAAAUUUAUCUAGGUAAAGUCCUUAUAGGUAUUUCCAAUUUAGACACAUGCAUAUGUAUGAUUUAAGUAAUAUUCAUAGGUACAAGGAAGCCUAUAUUACACUUGCCUUCCUCAAAAGUUUCUUCCUGGUAGAGCUCCACAAACUGCUCCUCAACCACUCCAACCUGAUCUCCUUCUAUUCGUGAUCCAAACACCAAUCAAUCAUCCAUUCCAAUCAUCACAUGCAUACAAAUAGAGUUCUAUUAGAACAGUACACCAAAUAGUGAAAACAGUGACUGAAAAGUAUUUAAAUCUACUCUACGCAUUUCUAUGAACACAUGAGCGAAAGAAUCACUCUAAUCGGAUUUAAAACAUGAAAGUUAUGCAUAAAACAAAAUGAAUGGCAUUUCUGUGAAUAAACUGAAUCCAAAAACGAAUUUAAAAGAAUUAAAACUGACUUUCUAACGGGUCUGGACCACGCGCACUAUUAUUUAAAAGUACAGGGCUCAAAACGAAAGAAAACAGGAUUAAAAAGAAAUACUUUUGAACUGGAUUGGACCGCGGGUUGAUUUGCUUGAAACAGGGGGGUUAAACUGCAAAAACUUCAGCGGCCCGUGGCUGACCGCGUUGCUGACCGACAGGGGCCACGUGGCGUGCGGGGAUUGGCUCGGUCCACCACUGUGCGCGUGGACCGGCCGGCCGAGUGUUGUGGACCGCGCCCACGGGUCCACGGUGGACCGGUUACAUAACCCCGAAGGGGUAUGUAAUCUGGACCGUUGGGAUCUAAUCGGGCGGCUCAGGAAGGAGGGAGGCGGGGUGCUCGCCUGGCCGAGGCCGAGCACGGCGGCGCCAUUGUCGCCGACGAGGUGAGCUCCUCGGAGCUCACCGGAAACUCGUUCCCGGCCAUUCCAAACAAAACUAAAGCUACCGAAAUGAUCUACGCGACAAGGCGAACUCGAUAGAGCACAAAGAAGGGGCGGGGAGCACGUCGGGACGACGGCCCCGCGGUGGCGCCACUUCCGCGGCCUCGGCGAGCCUCGGGCUCGGUGGUCUAGCGCUCUAGUUCAAAAUUGAAAGCACGGGGAGUAUCGUAGAAGUACCGCGGUUCCGAUGGAGAUGCUCGCGGUGUCCGAAGGUGCUCCGAGCAGUGUGGCCACGAGCGCGGCGGUCUGGGGAAGAAAAGGGCGACGGUGAGCUCAAAUUCGUGGCAUACAAGAUCAAAACAAGGAUGAAAUCGAUGCCUACGGUCGCGGCGAGUCUCAACCAAACUCCCGAGACGAUCUCCUGGCUCUGGGUCGCUCGAGCAAGGGGAAACCGAGGUGGGGGAUCGACUCCGAGCUCCGGUGGUGGCUAGGGCAGCAAGGGGGGGCUCGGCCUCGGGUUUUAUAGGGCGAGCAGGGGCAUUGAGGGAGCGCGCAUGCGGGCGUUAACUCCCGGCGUCAAGGCGGCUUGAUGGAGCCCCGAUUGAUGGCCUCCAUCAAUCGGCGUUUGAAGGGGGGAUGAAUGCCCCUAGCGGUGCUCCCGGCUCGGUGGAGAAGAAGGGGGGGAGACGCUGACGUGCGGACCCCACGGUGCAGCGAGAGAGAGGGGGAAGGGUGAGCGCCGACAGGCGGGACCCACCACGCAGUGAGAGGGGGAGAGGGGGAGGGCGCGUGGGCUGACCGCGCGGAGUGGGCCGCGCCACUAGGCCGCGUGCGCGCGCGGAGCGGGCGAGGGGCGGGGUGCUGGGCCGCCACGGCCCAAGGCCAGGGGUGGGCGCGGGGGUUCAGGCCGGCCAGGGUUUGGGGGCUGGGCCAGAUUUGGGUGAACAGAAAUAAAAAUAGGAGAAAACUCUUUUGUAUUUUCCAGAACUAUAUAUUUGUAUAGAUCCCUUUAAUUUGAUUUUUAAACCAAACAACCCAGUCUUACAAUCAAUCAAAAAUAUUAUGCACCAGCAUGAAUGCAGCAUUUCAUGUUUCUAAACCUUAUGGUUUAUUUUAAAUAAUUCCAAAAAUUGUUAUUUUGCCUAAAUAAUUCUCAGAUAAUUCAUAUAAUUGUGCCAAAUUGAAUACUAAUUCGAAAAUAAAUUUUUAGGGUGCUACAAACCUACCCCCCUUAGGAUGAAUCUCGUCCUCGAGAUUCGGAUGGUUCAAAAAGAUGAGGGUACUCAGAUUUUAAGUCAUCCUCUCUUUCCCAGGUUGCUUCAUCUUUUGAAUGCCUAUUCCAUUGUACUUUGCACAUUCUUAUGACCUUGCUCCUGGUGGUUCUUUCUGCUGUCUCCAAAAUUCUUACAGGAUAUUCUUUAUAGGAAAGGUCUUUUUGAACAUCGAGCUCUUCCAGAGGUAACUGUUCUUCGGGUACUCUCAGACAUUUCUUAAGCUGUGACACAUGGAAAACAUUGUGAACACUAGAGAGUUGCUCAGGUAAUUCCAGUUGAUAGGCGACUUCUCCUCUCCAAGCAAUGAUCUUAAAUGGUCCCACAUACCUGGGAGACAACUUCCCCUUUGUAUGAAAUCUCUUGACUCCUCUCAUAGGUGAGACCUUGAGAUACACAUAAUCUCCUAUUUGGAAUUCCAAAUCCCUUCUCCUGGUAUCUGCAUAACUUUUCUGUCGUGACUGUGCUAUUUUCAAGUUCUGUCUUACUGUGUGUACUUGUUUCUCUGCUUCUUGCAAGAUUUCGGGCCCAAAAACUUGACUUUCCCCAGUUUGACUCCAAAAUAGCGGUGUCCUGCACUUCCUGCCAUAUAAUACCUCAAAAGGUGCCAUUUUGAGACUCUUCUGAUAACUAUUAUUAUAGGAGAAUUCUGCGUAGGGUAAACUUUUGUCCCAACUUGUCCCGUACUGCAGGGCACAAGCUCUCAGCAUAUCUUCUAGUAUCUGGUUUGUUCUUUCUGUCUGUCCAUCUGUUUGAGGAUGGUAGGCCGAACUAAAAUUCAAUUUGGUAUCCAUGGACUCAUGUAGUUUCUGCCAAAAGUGUGAUGUAAACUGUGUCCCUCUAUCAGAAACGAUUUUCUUUGGCACCCCAUGUAAACACACAAUCCUUUCCAUGUAUAAUUCUGCCAACUUUGCCCCGGAAUAGGUAGUCUUGACAGGGAUGAAGUGAGCUACCUUGGUCAAUCGAUCUACAAUAACCCAAAUAGAAUCGUAUCCUUUCUGUGUCCGAGGUAGUCCCACUAUAAAGUCCAUCCCAACUUCCUCCCACUUCCACUCAGGUAUUUUCAUGGGUUGAAGUAAUCCUGCUGGUCUCUGAUGUUCUGCUUUUACUCUUUGGCAGGUAUCACAUAUAGCCACAUAUUCUGCCACAUCUCUUUUCAAGCCAUACCACCAAUAUCUUUCUUUUAAGUCGAGGUACAUUUUAGUACUACCCGGGUGUAUAGAAUAAGCGGAGUCAUGAGCUUCUCUCAAGAUAGCCUCUCUAAUAGACUUUAUCUCGGGUACACAAAUCCUCUUACCGAACCAUACUGUUCCUUGAUCAUCCAUGUGGAAUCCUGGUGCCUUACCAAUCACUAUCCGUUCCGCGAUAUCUUUAAUUUUCUCAUCUUCCAAUUGUCCUUUACGGAUAUCUCGUUCUAGUGUAGGUUCCACCUCCAACUCCAUAGUAUUAGCCACUAUACUCAGGUUCAGAUGUUCAAACUCUUCGCACAACUCCCUAGGUAAUUGAGUCACAUAAGCCAUAUUAACAUAGCUCUUUCUACUCCGGGCAUCUGCCACUACAUUAACUUUACCCGGGUGAUAGUGUACUUCCAGGUCGUAGUCCUUAAUCAGUUCCAACCAUCUUCGUUGUCUUAAGUUCAAAUCAGACUGGGUGAAGAUAUAUUUUAAACUCUUAUGAUCUGUAUAAAUCUCACAUUUAUGACCGAUUAGAUAGUGUCUCCAUAUUUUUAGAGCGUGCACCACGGCCGCUAACUCCAAAUCAUGGGUCGGGUAGUUCAACUCGUGUUUCCUUAACUGUCUAGAGGCAUAGGCCACCACUCUGCCCUCUUGCAUGAGUACACAACCCAGACCUUGCCGAGAGGCAUCACAGUAGAUAGAGAAACUCUUAGUGAUGUCAGGUAAGAUGAGUACGGGGGCAGAAGUCAGUCUCUUUUUCAAUUCUUCAAAACUGGCUUGACACUCUUUGGACCAUAUAAAUUUAGCAUUCUUUUCUAGCAGAGCGGUCAUUGGUUUGGCUAGCUUUGAGAAACCCUCAAUAAAUCUUCUAUAGUACCCGGCCAUUCCAAGGAAACUUCUAAUUUCACUCACAUCUUUGGGUGGUUUCCAGCUUAACACAUCCUGGACCUUUUUUGGGUCCACUGUUACCCCUCCGUUAGAGAUGAUGUGCCCAAGGAAAGAUACCUCUUUUAACCAAAAUUCACAUUUACUAAGCUUAGCAUAGAGUUGAUGUUCUCUAAGCUUUUGUAGCACCAAUCUCAAGUGUUUCUCAUGUUCUAUCUCAUUCUUAGAGAAAACAAGUAUGUCAUCUAUGAACACAACCACGAACUUGUCAAGGUAUUCCAUGAAUACUUUGUUCAUCAAAUACAUAAAGUAGGCAGGUGCAUUUGUCAACCCAAAGGACAUAACUGUAAACUCAUAUAGUCCGUAUCGAGUCACAAAAGCAGUUUUAGGGAUAUCAGAUCGUCUUAUCUUUAACUGAUGAUAACCAGACCGAAGGUCUAUCUUAGAAAACACACAGGCUCCUUUCAACUGGUCAAACAGGUCAUCAAUCCUAGGGAGUGGAUACUUGUUCUUAAUUGUGACCUCAUUAAGUGAUCUGUAGUCUAUACACAUUCUUUGUGUACCAUCUUUCUUUUCUACGAAUAACACUGGUGCUCCCCAAGGUGAGGAACUUGGUUGAACAUAACCCUUAUCUAGCAACUCUCUUAAUUGCUUCUUAAGUUCUGCUAACUCAUUCACACCCAUUCUAUAUGGUCUUUUAGCUAUGGGUGCAGUUCCAGGUAAAAGUUCAAUUAUAAACUCAAUGUCACGGUCAGGUGGCAUACCUGGCAGUUCCUCAGGGAAUACGUCCGGAUACUCAUUCACUAUCCGUAUGUCCUCUAUGGAUGUCCCCUUCAGCUGAUUAACUGUGUAAUAUUGCUUAGCCGACAUGCUAACCUCUACCUCAAUUUGUUGGCCUGAAAGUGUCAUUAACUGAACUGUUUUGCUAUCACAUUGUAUAACUGCUUUUCUCUGUUUCAACCAUUCCAUACCCAAGAUAACAUCAAUGCCAGAAGUUUUCAAAACCACCGGGCUAACUGUAAACUCUACCCCCCUUAAGGUGAUGUUCACUAGAGGGCAUCUAAGGGUAGCUUGCAUUUCUGCUCCAGGUGAGCUAACUAUCAUGGAGUUUUUCAUAGCAAUCAUGGGUAUAUCAUAUUUCUUGACAAAAGACUGAGCAAUAAAGGAAUGUGAUGCAGCGGAAUCGAAUAAAACUGUAGCGGGGCUUGAGUUGACUGGAAACAUACCGAGCAUCACGUCCGGUGCCUCCUGUGCCGCCUCGGCUGUCACAUGAUUUACUCUUCCUCUGAUAUUGUUCUGGGCCAUCUUCUUGGGGCACCUAUUGGAGUAGUGUCCCGGCUCACCACAGCUGUAACAUUUGUUAUCAUUGUUGGCAUUUGGUGCUUUUGGUGCGCCAUUCUUUGGUGGAGCAUUGGGAACGUUUGUCUUUACAGGAGCAUUAUUAACUGGCUGCUGACGUAGGUUAGGAGCUCGGUACUGCUGCUGCUGCUGCUGUGCACGUUGUGGCUGCGGAUUACGAUUGACUAGGCUUGACUGACCUUGAUAGCGUUGCUGAGGAUAAGCUUGCGGAGGAUUGGUACGAGUACGCGUGUUGUUUCCUGACUGUUGCCCCUGGAACUUCCUCUUUUUAUCUUCCAUUUGGCGGCGUUUGUUCUCAAUCACCAAGGCCUUGUCCACCAGAUACUGAAAGCUUGUAAAAGUGUGGGAUAGCAGCUGGUAUUGGAGCCCAUCAUUCAACCCUUCCAUGAAUAAUUCCUGUCUCUUUUCAUCGUUAUCCACCUCUGUGGGAGCAUAUCGUGACAAUUGUAUGAACUUGUCACGAUAUUCAGCAACAGACAUACUUCCUUGCUUGAGGGAGAGAAAUUCUUUCUUCUUCAGUUUCAUCAGUCCGGCAGGGACAUGAUGAGAGCGGAAAGCAUUACGGAAUUCCAUCCAAGUUAUGGGGUCAGCAUCCGCACGGCCAAAACGAAAAGAAUCCCACCAAUCAAGGGCAGCUCCUUGCAAUUGCCCUGCCACAUACAACACUUUCUCUCUGUCAUCACACUGUGCAAUCUCUAGUUGUCUUUCGAUCGCAUGAAGCCAGUCAUCCGCUUCGAGAGGGUCGGUGGAGUGUUUGAAAACAGGUGGAUGUCCCUUCAAGAAUUCUCCUCUCUUGUCCCUAACAUGAGGAGGUGCAUUUCCAUUACCAUUUCCAUUGUUCUGCAUAUUUUGGGCCAGUUGCUGCAGCAGUUGUGUUUGCAUCAUCAUCAGUUGCUCCAUAGUAGGAGGUGGUGGUGGUGGUGGCACAUCCUCACCCCUCCUGUUCCUCCUAGUGUUGGCCAUCUGUACCAGAUGCAUAAUAUGAGUCUCAUAUGUCCAAGAUAUUUAAUUUUCAAGAGAUAUAACAUGUUGGAAUUAUCACCAUCUGAUCAAGUAUGGGAUUACAUAUGUUGUGAGUACGAUGUGGUAUGCAUUCUGCAUUUUUCUGCUGUUCUUACUAAAGCUACAGCGAAGUAAAACAAGCAUAACUUUCUUUCUGUUUAACAUCUCACUGCGAAAUUUAACUUUCUGGAAAGCUUGGAAAUUUUCCUACAACUUUCAUUCAGACCACUUCCUCAAUUUCUGGCGUUUACAUAGGUAAGAACAGGGAACAACUUUUACUGUUCUGAAGUUUUCUGACUGCGCAGAGAGGUCAGCUUGUGGAAAUUUUAUCUCUCAAACGGUAACAGAUAUUGAGGUGAUCCCAGAGCCAAAAGAAAGAUAUAGAAAUCUAUUUUAUUCCAUAAAGUUUUUGUAUUUUUAGUCCAUCCAGAACUCGAGAUAUACAAUUUUUAAAGCGGACUGCUCAGAGGGAAAAACAUGGGUAGACAGCAAGAUAUAAGUAAAACCCAACUAUUUAUUCAUAUUACCCUUAGACCUUAGCCCUAUUCUAAAUGACUGUGGACAGGCCCACAAUCAUUGAAAUCAUAACAAAAAUCCAACUCAUCCAUUAAGCAUUAUUACAAGCAUGCAUUCACGAAGUAGCAAUUGUUCAAUCAGUAGAAAAUAAGAACACGCUCUCGCAUCUCUAUGCGUGUUUAUUACAAAUGGGGAAACCUCCUAUGGGUCAAGGUUGGUGCCGGUGUUGGGGUCCUUGUGGUUCCUUAGGGGUGACUCCGCGAGGAUGAGUGGUACUUCUUCAACAUGAUUCCCCUACUGUUGCUUUAACAUGGAGUUCUCGACAGCCAACUCAAGGUAGGCCUUCCUCAGGGCAUCUAGCUCAUCUGAGACUCGAUCCAAGUCUGUGUUGGUUUGAGCCAAGCAUGCCAGGGUGGGUCGGAUCCUGGGAUUCCCUGCGACAAGUGGUGCAGCGAUGUUGCAGAUUGUCUGACCACUCCGCCGGCGGGGUAGAUAGCGAUCUUCUUCCCAUGCAAUGUCAGCAAAGUGGCGGUCGCGGUUCACCACCAAGGCCUGCCGGGCAGCGUCCCGGAUAGCUGCUGCGCGGGUAGUCCUGGCGGUGAUCGCACGGUGGAUGUGGCACACCCGACUUCCUUCUCGGAUGUAAGCUUUAGUCUCCCAGAAGCCGAUGUAGUCGGGGUGAGUCCAAUGCUCGGUGCGGUACUGCACAGUACACCGGGCAUGGAAACGACGUGCGAGAGUAAGAAGCUUCGGAUGGUAGUAGGCGUCACCAUGCAAGUCGAAAUGGAUCACCACUGUCCAUCCCUUUGCCAGAAGCGCAGCAUGGUGAUCUUGGCUAUCUCCAUCACCAUCUCCAUCAUCACCACCACUGCCAUGGUCGCUUGAGUCAGAGCUGUCAGAACUAUCUUCAUCAUCUGGAUCACCAGCUCCCUCUUGUUCAUCUUGCUCCAUGGGCUCCUCUUCGGUUUCCUCGUCCUCAACUGGUUCCUCUAUCAUGACUUCCUCCUCAGCAUCCUCAUCCAUGGGUACAUCCAUGGUUUGUUCCUCAUGUGGAUCCUCCUCCAUGUCCCUCAGCGCUUCAACCAGAUGCGGGGGAACACGCUUGCCUAGAGUGAACCUUGUCCUCUUGUUGGGCAUGAUGACACGUUUGCGAGCUGUCCACUUGGUACGGGCCAUCUAUAAGAAAAUGUAUGAGGAUUAGAAUAAAAUAAUUUUCUCAAUAGAUAUUAGGCAAGUUAUAAGCAUUAAUUUUAUAAGAAAAUAAUUAGUAAAAUAAGUGCUCAAGACCCUAAAAACGUCCAUUUCUAACUAGGCUGAUCGUCCUACAGUCAGGCUAAGCUUUGAUACCAAUUUGUCGCACCCAGUUUUGAUAACAAAACCAAGUACUUGAAUAUGUGCGCCCAGGAUGUCCAAACACACAUAUUAUCACAAAUUGUAAAUAUAUCAAAGUAAAGUACUUUAUUACAUCGCUUAUUCAACUUAAAUAUCUCACAAAGUCUUGCUCAUAGCAACAUUAUUACAUAAAACGGAAAGCUAAGCCAUUGUUGCCACAGGGACACCAACUGGUGAACACCAGCUCUCUAGAAGUCCUGGACAUCUUCAGGGAACUCCUCAGUACACACAUCUGUUACCCAUCCGGGAUUUUCAUUGAAAUAUGAACAAGUGUAAGCGCACCAUGCUUAGCAAGUAUAACAUAGGGGUAUAUGAAGGCUCAAAGGCUUGACUCGGUUUAACAGCAGUUAGCAUUUUAGUUGGUCAUAUAUUUUUUUUUACCAAGACUUACUACUUUUAGUGAAUGUCCAACCCUGGUUACAUAUGAAUUAAUCAAAGUUAUUAUAAUCCCCAAAUAUAACCAAGUAACCGCUAACCAAGAAGGAUCCAGGCCGCUCAUGACCGAGAGCUCGGCUGUUAUAACAGGUUUUAGAUUUCUGCAGAAAUUGUACAACUUUACCCCCGAGCCAUGGUUCCCUAGUGUCGGGGUUUGCAAGGCCCACACCACUUCUACCGAGGAAGUGUGACCGGGUCCCACUACGUAACCUUUCACUAGUCACCCUAACAAAAUAGUAGCCGCGAGGUUUCAGUGGCAAGUGUGCAUAGACGACCUCCUUCGAGAGGCACAUGUGGUCGCGGCACUGUACUCACCAAGGUAGGAGUGACAUCUAUACACCACGAGGCACCCCCCUCUAGCGCCUUUCGGUAACUACUAAAUUGCUAGAGACAUACUAGUUAUAUGAUUAAGGUCAGAGCCAUUUGACUCUCGGGAUUGUACGUGUCCUCCUGGGUGGCUGCUUCAGGAUUAAGUCCUUAUGGAGAGGAAUCUAGAGCUUUCAAACCCAAGCUCUAGCCCCCUGAACCAAGUUACUAGAACAUAUUUUAUCAUGUUGCAUACACCAAUUUAAUCAGAUUAAUUUAUUAACUUGAGUUUUGAGCAUAGCAAGCAACUACCUACAUAGAUGCACACCUUCCCAUGGGUAACAAGGAUUUGUGGUACAAAAUUUAUCUAGGUAAAGUCCUUAUAGGUAUUUCCAAUUUAGACACAUGCAUAUGUAUGAUUUAAGUAAUAUUCAUAGGUACAAGGAAGCCUAUAUUACACUUGCCUUCCUCAAAAGUUUCUUCCUGGUAGAGUUCCACAAACUGCUCCUCAACCACUCCAACCUGAUCUCCUUCUAUUCGUGAUCCAAACACCAAUCAAUCAUCCAUUCCAAUCAUCACAUGCAUACAAAUAGAGUUCUAUUAGAACAGUACACCAAAUAGUGAAAACAGUGACUGAAAAGUAUUUAAAUCUACUCUACGCAUUUCUACGAACACAUGAGCGAAAGAAUCACUCUAAUCGGAUUUAAAACAUGAAAGUUAUGCAUAAAACAAAAUGAAUGGCAUUUCUGUGAAUAAACUGAAUCCAAAAACGAAUUUAAAAGAAUUAAAACUGACUUUCUAACGGGUCUGGACCGCGCGCACUAUUAUUUAAAAGUACAGGGCUCAAAACGAAAGAAAACAGGAUUAAAAAGAAAUACUUUUGAACUGGAUUGGACCGCGGGUUGAUUUGCUUGAAACAGGGGGGUUAAACUGCAAAAACUUCAGCGGCCCGUGGCUGACCGCGUUGCUGACCGACAGGGGCCACGUGGCGUGCGGGGAUUGGCUCGGUCCACCACUGUGCGCGUGGACCGGCCGGCCGAGUGUCGUGGACCGCGCCCACGGGUCCACGGUGGACCGGUUACAUAACCCCGAAGGGGUAUGUAAUCUGGACCGUUGGGAUCUAAUCGGGCGGCUCAGGAAGGAGGGAGGCGGGGUGCUCGCCUGGUCGAGGCCGAGCACGGCGGCGCCAUUGUCGCCGACGAGGUGAGCUCCUCGGAGCUCACCGGAAACUCGUUCCCGGCCAUUCCAAACCAAACUAAAGCUACCGAAAUGAUCUACGCGACAAGGCGAACUCGAUAGAGCACAAAGAAGGGGCGGGGAGCACGUCGGGACGACGGCCCCGCGGUGGCGCCACUUCCGCGGCCUCGGCGAGCCUCGGGCUCGGUGGUCUAGCGCUCUAGUUCAAAAUUGAAAGCACGGGGAGUAUCGUAGAAGUACCGCGGUUCCGAUGGAGAUGCUCGCGGUGUCCGAAGGUGCUCCGAGCAGUGUGGCCACGAGCGCGGCGGUCUGGGGAAGAAAAGGGCGACGGUGAGCUCAAAUUCGUGGCAUACAAGAUCAAAACAAGGAUGAAAUCGAUGCCUACGGUCGCGACGAGUCUCAACCAAACUCCCGAGACGAUCUCCUGGCUCUGGGUCGCUCGAGCAAGGGGAAACCGAGGUGGGGGAUCGACUCUGAGCUCCGAUGGUGGCUAGGGCAGCAAGGGGGGGCUCGGCCUGGGGUUUUAUAGGGCGAGCAGGGGCAUUGAGGGAGCGCGCAUGCGGGCGUUAACUCCCGGCGUCAAGGCGGCUUGAUGGAGCCCCGAUUGAUGGCCUCCAUCAAUCGGCGUUUGAAGGGGGGAUGAAUGCCCCUAGCGGUGCUCCCGGCUCGGUGGAGUAGAAGGGGGGGAGACGCUGACGUGCGGACCCCACGGUGCAGCGAGAGAGAGGGGGAAGGGUGAGCGCCGACAGGCGGGACCCACCGCGCAGUGAGAGGGGGAGAGGGGGAGGGCGCGCGGGCUGACCGCGCGGAGUGGGCCGUGCCACUGGGCCGCGUGCGCGCGCGGAGCGGGCGAGGGGCGGGGUGCUGGGCCGCCACGGCCCAAGGCCAGGGGUGGGCGCGGGGGUUCAGGCCGGCCAGGGUUUGGGGGCUGGGCCAGAUUUGGGUGAAGAGAAAUAAAAAUAGGAGAAAACUCUUUUGUAUUUUCCAGAACUAUAUAUUUGUAUAGAUCCCUUUAAUUUGAUUUUUAAACCAAACAACCCAGUCUUACAAUCAAUCAAAAAUAUUAUGCACCAGCAUGAAUGCAGCAUUUCAUAUUUCUAAACCUUAUGGUUUAUUUUAAAUAAUUCCAAAAAUUGUUAUUUUGCCUAAAUAAUUCUCAGAUAAUUCAUAUAAUUGUGCCAAAUUGAAUACUAAUUCGAAAAUAAAUUUUUAGGGUGCUACAAACCCCACCGGGAUGUACUCGCGCGGCCUCUCCGACUUCCCCGUCUUCAGCACGAGAUUGAGGCAACCCGCCCGCACCGGUUUCCUCACGCCGGUGGUCCCAGUGGGGGCGUUGAAGAGCUCGCCCCUGUAGAGAUGGAGCCACAGCUCCCAGUGCGGCAUCAUCCCCAAGUAGCCCUCACACACGGCGGCAAAGACCGCCGCGACGGUGAUGGCGUUGGGGAGAAGUGCUGGAGCUCCACCCCGUAGUGGAAGCAGAGGGCCCGCAUGAAGCGACUCGGGGGAGCACCCAGGCCGUGGCGGUGGAACUUGGCAAACGACACCACGUAGCCCGCAGGCGGCUGGGGCUCCCUGUGACUCGCCGGCGGCGCGAUCCACUCCGGCGACGAUAGUGAGGUGCGGCGGCGCAGCAAUCCCUCUUUCUCAAGAUCUAGCAGCCGGCGCUCCAUCAUCGACGACGGGCGCCAGUCGUCGGCGGCGAUGAGUCUUACAGGCAUCUUGGCCGAAGAGGCGGUGGAUCCGCUGCUGCACGAGGAGGCGCGUGCGCGUAAGACGGCGAGAGAGCUAAGACAGCAAGGAGGCAAAGGCAACAAGAGAAUGGGAGUGAGAGGGCGGAAGGAAGAGGAACGGCGACGGCGCCACGACGUAUUUAUAGGCCGCAAUCCGCCAAUGGAUGGAUCCGAUAAAUGAGGUAACUCCCCCCAUAAAUGCGCCGUCUAACGGUCCUUUCCCUCCUCACAGGCCAGAUGCUCCGAAUUCCCCGCCGAUACGGUGUCGCAACGUCACUUACCUGAAAAGGCGCGCCCAACGGGCAGAAAGACGAACCGGCACGGCAGCUUCCUUGUUUCGUAAGCCAAGGUACGCGCCCACAACAGUCUCGAGAGGUCGAUGGCUGGCCCGUCGAAAGGGUUCGACAGCCGAUCUCGAGCACCAAGAGUCAGGGGUCCCCAGCGAGUGGUCAAAAAUCGAGGCAUGCCUCGAAAACUCGCUGGCGAUGUCCAAGGCAGGGUCGAGACAGUCGAGAGGAAUCCCCCCGACGGGAGGCAUCGAGCCGCUGGACUCUAUUGAAUGAGACCGGUAUCCCCGACCACGUCGACCCAGCUUUAUGAGAACGCCUCCGGGCUACAGCUGACCCCCUCGAAAGGGGCACAGCUUCUCACUUGGACUACCCGCUAGGAACUCGAUCUGGAGUGGAAGACGCUCGCUCUAUCGAGAGUACGUCGAAACCUCCACGCAAGGCAAAGCCGAUCAGAACCUUCCACCACUGGUGUCGACAGUGUCUCUGCAAAUUAGGCAAAAUAACCCUCAAGGGAGUUAAAUACUCCCUCGAGGGCUCGGGGGCUACCCCCGCGGGGUCGCUCGCGCGCCCCCGCGGAACCUCGACUGAAAAGACAAAAGUCUCCACUCGAGCGCCAGCGCUCGAAUGGAGACUCGGGGGCUACUGUCGAGGGUAUCAACAAGGGGUACCCUCACCGAUGCGAAUAACGAAACCAUCCGUACAUAAAACUAGCGCCUCGAUUCGACGCUCCGUCCGCACACACGCACGACCAUCGACGACCGUAGCCUCGAAGACGGAAAUAGCGUCGAGCGAAUCAAUCAGGCGUCGAGCUCUGGUCAACGUCGAAUACGGAACAGGCUCCCGCGAAUCGGGAGGCGUCGAGCGCAAGGACGCUGCCGCCGCCUAACGCGCGCACGCGGGCCGGGGCAUUAAAUGCGCCUGGUGCCUCCCCACCUAACACAUGGGUCACGGGGGGCGUGAUAGAGAACAGGCACCUGUCCCACCGAUCUUUUUGCAGCCUUCCCCACCAAACGGCCCAAGGCGUGUCAGGACGUGGGAAACAGAGACGGAGUGUCUAAUCAAGACCCCCUCGAGAUGGCCAAAGUCAGCGCUCCAACAUCAGGACGUCGUACGGCGUCCGACCCUCGACCAGAUAGAGAUCCAUCCAGGAGACAAGUCGGGCGUCGACUGACCACAUCCCAACUGCUCCGCCGGAUUUGCCGUCGGGUCGUACGAGUGUACAUCAGGCAAAUCAAUCCAGGACGGCGUGCAGAACAGAAUGCAAGGGCACGCGUAAUCAUCACCAGGCUAUUAAGACGGGACGACUCGAGGCCAUGCCGGUACGGAAGCCUCGAGUAGGUCAGCGCUCCAUACUGCUAUCGACUCCUAUUCUGACGCCUAUACAUGUACCCUGGGUCUCUCCUUGGGACUAUAAAAGGAGGGACCCAGGAAUAGAACGGAGGACGAGACCACGCUCAUAUGCAGUAGAGCUCCCCACUUCAUACCACGCUUGUAUUCACCCCUGUACGAGCACUUAGGUGCAAGAUAAUACAAACUCUCUCCCCCCCGCUGGACGUAGGGCCUUCUCUUGCCCGAACCAGGAUAAAUCUCUGUGUCUUCUUGCAUCACCAUCCGGGAAAGGGAGCACGCAUACAAAUUUACUCGUUGGUGUGACCCCCCGGGGGAAAAACACCGACAGUUGUGGUAGCCUUAGGGUAGUGACAGCCCUAACGGUCGACGUAUUCCACCUCGUUCGGAUAGGUGUUUGUAGGACCGUAGUCGGAGCUUCCUAGCCCCCUUCUCAUCUCUUUCUGUGGUUAGUGUUCUGAUGUCCCGAAAUAGAUAAUCUUGAAGUAAUUCUUGAUUAUUAGAUCAACUAAAGAACUCUCAGGAAACUUCCUCUCUUCCCACCAAAAAUAAUUAUAUAGUUAUCCUUGGGCAAUCUUGGAUCUUAAUUAGUACACUCACGUUCCCUGUGAAAAAUUGAUACUCUGGAAUACUCUCGGGUGAAGGCUACAUCGGUAUCCGUGCGCUUGCGGAAUUUUCUGUUUGCGUUUAAAAUACCCAACAAGCUUUCUAGCACCGUUGCCGGGGAACGGUAGCUGUGCUAGUUUCGAACCAAGUCGUCCGUGUAUCCUUUUUCUUUUCCUUUUUUACCACACUCACCUUAUCACUUUCACCAUACCACAUGGAUUUCACUCUAAGCAUUAAUGAGCAUGGAAUUUAUUUCAUAGCCACUUCACUUACUCCAUGCUCAUAUGCAACAUCUUCACAAUCCAUUGGUCUCUCCAACAUCACCACAUUCGAUACUCUGGAAUACUCUCGGGUGAAGGCUACAUCGAUAUCCGUGCACUUGUGGAUUUUUCUGUUUGCGUUUAAAAUACCCAACACUAUUGUAGCGUCAGCUGAUGAGGUUUUGUCACUAGGGGCUUGGUCUUCCUCAGGUAAUGUGGACAUGCCAACUCAUCAUAUGAUGGAACAUGAUGAGCAUUCACCAUGCAAAACAAGUGAACAUAAACAUUUUACACCUACAUGAUGUUCUGCCAAAAGGAAACAAGAGCAGGUGAAUUUGUUCCAAACUAAACUUGAGAUUGAAAUAUUUAAGGAUGUUAUACUACCUAAGUGUUGUACCUUGAUUGUACUCAGGUAUACAGAAGAAAAGAAGGAUGAAUCAGACCCUAAAGACGGACUAGCAAAUCGGAUCACUAGAGUUAAGAACGGACCGCUGCAAGUCCCUGACAGACUAGCAAAACGGACCAGUAGAGUCAAGAACGGACUAGUGCAAAGAAAUCUUCAGAACCUUUUACUCACAAAUGCUUGAGAAAAUUUCUAACAUAACAUCUUUGAGUUCAUUGAAUACUACUCAUAGCUUCCAGUUUACAUUUGUUUUGAUUGGAGAACAUAUUGUAGAUACCUUCUAGGUUCAUGCCAUUUGUGUAACAUAUAACAAGCUUGCUGAUUUAGACUCAAAAAUGUUGUGAGAUAAACAAAGUGAGAAAUCCUUUGAGAUGCAACAAACGCUUGGUGCUUAUGGUUUCGAUCAAUUCAUAUUGUCAGCAUGUUCGUACCAUCCACUUAAAGUUAGAAAUCUUGUGCAAAGCAAAGCCUAUACACCGAAAAGUUAUUCAUCCACACCUUGGAGCAUUGAGUUUAAAAAUUAUACUUCUAAACCCUUGAAUAAAUUUUGCUGCCACAAUAAUUUUUGGAAUGACAUUAGUUCUCAACAUCCAUUUGAUGAAAAGUUUGAUCUUCUAAAGAUAAAACAUGAUAACAUGAAUCAAAUGAUUGGAUUGGAAGAAAUUUUUGUGCUUCCCUCCUCUAAAAUGUUUGCAGGUUCACCAAAGUUGAGAGAAUGUUUCUUACAUGGAAAAGAAAAUAAUGCAAAAAUAAUUCAUAAUGGAACAAAUGAACAGAACAAAAGGAAUGAUUAUUGGAAUUAUCAAGUACAUCCACCCUCUAUUUUGUCUAAGCUGUUUUCAGGUAAACAAAAGUCGUGGAUGACUUUUCUUAAAGGGAGGGAGGAUGAUGAGACCAUACCAAGGCAAUCAACAUUCAAGCAUCCACUAAAGGUGAAAGCUAAACUUAAUUCCAAAUCAUUUAGGUUUCCACAUACAAGGCUACUACUUGGUUUAUAUGAUUAUAGAUUCAAACAACUUGCUAUCAUGGAACAAGAGGAUUGCGAUGUUAUCACAACAUUACAAACCGAUGGCCUAGCACAACUCUUUGGAUCAGAAGAGUUAGAGUCGAGGACGACUCCUUUUCAAGAGGGGGAGGAUAAUGAGGACAUGCUAACUCAUCAUAUGAUGGAACAUGAUGAGCAUUCACCAUGCAAAAUAAGUGAACAGAAACAUUAUACACCUACACAAUGUUCUACCAAAAGGAAACAAGAGCAGGUGAAUUUGUUCCAAACUAAACUUGAGAUUGAAAUAUUUAAGGAUGUUAUACUACCUAAGUGUUGUACCUUGAUUGUACUUAGGUAUAUAGAAGAAGAGAAUGAUGAAUCAGACGCUGAAGACGGACUAGCAAAUCGGAUCACUAGAGUGAAGAACGGACCAGUGCAAGUCCCUGACAGACUAGCAAAACGGACCAGUAGAGUCAAGAACGGACUAGUGCAAAGAAUUCUUCAGAACCUUUUACUCACCAAUGCUAUGAAGGUCCAUGAGGACUUGUUGGAAAGCUUGUCGUGUCUGCUUUCCAAUACCUUAAGUCUCAUCUCAUUUGGACAUCGCAAUCAAGAGUUAUGCUUGGAUUAGUCAAGACUGCUCAGAAGGUCAACACUCUGUCGUGACAGAAUGUUGGUACAACUUGCCAUGUAAAACUGUACCAAUCUACAACGUUUCGUGGUGCAUGAUAUACAUUGCUGGAAAGCUCUUAGAGUCUAGUUUCACAUGCAAGAAAGGGUUUGUCAUUUCGACUUCCCAAUAAGGAGUUAUGGUUAGUUUAUUUGAAACUACUCUGGAGGCCAACAGUCACGCGAAGCCAGUUCGGGAAUCGAUUCCGAGGGGACCUUUCACAUUGCCUUCCCUUAGAAACUCUAUUUCGUUUUCAUACCUAUCUAGGAGGGUUGUUCCUAGUAUAAAUAUCCCCUACCUCUAAGCUAUUAGAAACCUUUGAUCAUUUUGAUAAACUACAUGAUAUUGCAGCCGCGCUGCUGAGUGCCUUACUCAACCUUUGUUCUUUCUUGUUCUUCUUGGACUUGUGAAGAGAAUCCUCUGGGUUCCCCAACUUCAUGCUCUAUGGCUUCCAUUCGGAGAUCAGAGAAUCCUCUGGGUUCCCCUAUUGUGUGGAUUAGUUCCGGAUUGUGGUUCUGAAGUCGUUCGGAGAUCGAGUCGAAGUCUUCACGGUUUCGGUGCCUCUCUCCCCGUCGCUUGGUCGCAUCCCACCGUUGUCAGGUAUAAAGCUCGUUAUCCGUUGUUUGCAGCAAGUUAUCCUUGUUCUUUUGAUCUACUGUCGUGAAGAUCGGGCCACCCUUGUACCGAUUCAUAUCGGUACCCUAUCAUUAGGGGCAUCACUAUGGUCAUCAGUGUAGGGGGUGUUGUCUAGUAUGGUUGCUAGGACCACCAUACAUUCAUUAAUGGUUAAAUGAAGGAAUGCUCCCUUCAAGGCUAGAUCAAGGAAUUGUGCGGAACUUUGCCUAAGACCAAGAUAGAAAUGUUGCAUUAGUGUUGGCUCGGUUAUUGCUAAGUCUGGGCGAGGACGCUAAGUGUGUGAUUUGCGCCCAAGCCGCACCUAGAGAUUCCAUCUCUUCUUGCUUGACGUUUAGGAUCUCUCUAUGGAGACGAGCCAUAAGGGAAAUGGGGAAGUAGGUAAGGCAAAACUUGGCUUGCAGCUUCUCCCAUUCUCCAUCUACACUACCUACAUAGCGAGAGUACCACCAUCUGGCUUUUCCCGUCAAAGAGAACGGGAAGAGCUUCCACUUAAGGGUAACUCGCCUCAUCCUUUGGAUGUGAAUGCACGAGCAAAGCUGCUCGAAAUCACAUAGGUGGGCAUAGGGAUUUUCAUCUCCUUCUCCUGAAAAGGGAUUCUCCUAAACCAUCGCUAUGAGACUUGGGCGAAGCUCAUAACGAACGGCCAAAACAGCCUGAGAAGAACUAGGCGGGUCCAGCUCAGCGCCUGAUGGAGCAACGUAGUCAAAUAGGGUUGUUUGAUCCAUGGGAUAGGUAAAGGUUCUAAUCAAACAAGGAUAACUUGACGACUUUGAGUCUAGUUAACCAGCUACCAUUCCCCAGCAACGGCGCCAGAAAUGCUUGUUGACUCUUCUUAGCGUCACUACCUAGGAUUGUCAGUCCUUGGCACAACACUAAAAAUGCUUGUGUGACACCAGAAGUGGCAAAUGGUUUUACCGCAAGCGGACGGUGGUCAAUGCAGCACUUCACCAGGAGUAUUCCAGGUAUCGUAUUUUCCACGGGGAAUGAGAAGUGGAUUAACUAGACCAAUUAAGUCGUCGGAUGAUGAUCAAAGGUCUUAGGAUUGGUUGGAGAGGUAUUUCUAGUAUUUGGCUUUUGGCUAAGCUUUCCUAAGUAUACUGAGAGUUAACUCCCUUCCUACUAUGGCCGAUAGGUGAAAAUGGUGUGGCGAAACACUUCCCUCGGCAGCUACCAUGUAGGCCAACUAUUAUUUGCAACUUGCCUAACAAUACACUAAAGAGAACUCCUAAUGUCCAGCAGAGGCAUGUCACGCUUUGCUGCUGGCGUUCUUCAAGUGCGACAAGAAGUCCACAAGGGCAGACUUAGUCUAGACACCACAUCUAGACUAAUUCUACUACUCUAGACCCAGCUAAGGUUUCGAGCACUUCACACAAGGCAAAGCAAUGUGCCAGUAGGCCAGUUGUAUACUUAAAAUAAACUAAGACACAAAGUAAAUAUUGGAAGUACUUAGAUGAAAGGCAACUAGAAGGAAGACUUACCAGAAGACAAGCAUCUGCUGAGGCGCUCCUGGAAGAAGACUCCCGAUAUUCCGGGACUCCUCCUCGGGGAACUCCUCACUCUCUUCCCUCUAUUCUUACACUUAGCUAAGAGUAGCUCUUCCUAAGAUACAUCAUGCUUAACUAGGCUAUCUAAGAGGGUAUUUAUAGGGGAGAGAUGGAGUAGGGGCUACUCUAGCGCUGUUGGGUAUUUUAAACGCAAACAGAAAAAUCCGCAAGCGCACGGAUACCGAUGUAGCUUUCACCCGGGAGUAUUCCAGAGUAUCGAUUUUCCACAGGGAACGUGAGUGUACUAAUUAAGAUUCAAGAUCGCCCAAGGAUAACUAUAUAAUUAUUUUUGGUGGGAAGAGAGGAAGUUUGCUCAGAGUUCUCUAGUUGAUCUAAGAAUCAAGAAUUACUUCAAAGAUUAUUUAUUUCGGGACAUCAGAACACUAACCAUAGAAAGAGAUGAGAAGGGGGCUAGGAAGUUCUGACUACGGUCCUACAAACACCGAUCCGAACGAGGUGGAAUACAUCGACCGUUAGGGCUGUCACUACCCUAGGGCUACCACAACAAUCCACAGGAUUGGGUGCAAUUCCAAGUAAUUGCAAGACUAAACACCACGUCUAAUCUAUUAAUUACUACUCUAGCAUUUCAAAGACUAGAGCACUUUAUGCAAGUGGGAAUCCAAUAAAUAACUUGAAUGUAAAUAAUAGUAAUUAAAGAACUCAGGAAUUAUGAAUGAAGAACUUGGAGAACGAUGAAGAACGAAACAGUUGAUGCAAAAGUACAAUGUUGAGGAAGAUCCGACAGAUCCGGCUCCUCCUCCGCUAUCCUCUUCUCUCUCCCUAUUUUCUAUAUUACAACUAGAACUGACUAGAACUAGAACUAGAUGAACUAGAACUAGAACUAGAUGAACUAGAGGGAUCCUCUCUACUUGGAUGAAUAAUUGAAACCCUAGCUUUGAUUUUGUAGAAGAGAUAUGUCCUCCCUGGGCCAGGGGGCCUGCUUAUAUAGCCCUUCUAAAUGAACGUGGGCCGUCGGAUCAAACCGACCUUAAUCGCACGGUUUUCCUUGAUCCUCAAAGGCGGUGGAGCACAAUCCGCGAGACAGAGCCUGAUUGGCUGAGACUGCAGGGCGGGCGCCCAUGGGGGGAGGGCGGGCGCCCUGCCCCCGGGCCCGCUCGGCCUCCCGUUCGUUCCCGUGGCUUCUGGAGUCUUCUAGAUGAUAGAAAAUUGGCGCACACGUUAAUAUCUCUAUGUAAACCCGACGUGUGGGCCUUUCCUCAAUAUUUCCUGAUAACCCCCUGCAGAAAUAGACAAACACCAAAACUCGUGGAAUUCUGUCAGAUGAAACCCUAAGUUUGGAUGUUGGUUGCAUAUACGUCCUUUUCCAUGAUUAGUUGAUGGUUAAAUGUGAGCAUUAAGGACCGUCAACAAGCUCCCCCAAGCUUAACCUUUGCUCGUCCCUAAGCAAAGCUAAAAUCAGCAAGAAAACAGGUGUUACAUUUAUGCCUCUUCCUACAGGGUUUUUAAGUUAUCACUAAGGUCUUAAGUGAUUGAAAAACAGAACGAUCAAGUCAAGCACUAUGUCUCAAGUUCUUCUGUCUUACCUUUGUUCUGGAGUUUUUUUGUAAGUUUCCAAAAUAAAACUGAGGCAUUUGCCUUCUUCUCGAAAGAUAUAUAAGUAGAGCUUUAAAGGUUUUAGUAUACUUACUUUGCAUUUUGCUCUGCCAUUGCUCGGAGCAAGGGAGAGGAAUGUCAUACUCCUAGAUCAAGACCUUUGACAUUUUUGAAAAAUUUGUCAUCUCUUACUGGCAUAUUGCUUAUUAGAGGGACCAUGGGCUAUAAUUUUUUUCAUUCUUUUUUUCAGUCUCUCUCUUUUUUUUUUAUUUUUUUCUUCAAGUGGGCACCAAGUACCCCUAAUUCUACUAUCGGACACGUGUCCAUUUUUUCCACUCAGGUGGGUAUCUUUGUACCCCUAAUUCUACUUUGGACAUGUCAGAAAACCGACCAAAUUAUAAGAGUUCAAGUGUAGAAAUGAUCGACUCGCAAUCAAGUUUCCAAACUUGAGCCCAUAUAAUCCUGGUAGUCAACUGAAAUCACGAAGGACUUCAAACCAACUUGCAACAAAACAAGAUCGUAAUAGUUCAACAUAACACAGUGAGUGUUACAUAGUCAUUCAUCGCCGUCGAAGCGGCACCACAUCGGAGUCACUUAGUUCUUACAACACAUGUUUGUAGUAGCGGAAGCAAAAUAGUUACACACACUUUCCAAAGUUCAUUUCACAAGUUCUUGUUCAACCAGGGUCUCAUGCCAUCCCUCAAAAAGCAACAGGUACGAAGUAGUUAGAGAACCGUGCACAAAGGUUUAGUCCUCAUCCCCAGCGGGAUGGAGACAGGUCUUGCAGAAGCCAUCAUAAAAGAUAUCAUUUGCAACAGGUGGGAAUAAACCCUAAGUACGAGGAUGUACUCAGCUAGACUUACCCGUCUAGUAAAACAUAAAAGACUCCAAGGAUCAUGCAAGGCUAAGUGUAGAGUGGAGCUAGCUUGACUUAACAGUUGCCAAAAAGCUUAACUAGUAACUAUUUUAAAGUAAAAGUAUCAUAUUAAUCAUCAUUAGCCUACCACUAGAUUAGCACCUGUACUAAAACACAUCACUUGAUUAUUACAAACAAUAAUAACCAUAUCAAGUUCAUCAUAUGCUCUUUCUUGCUAUCAUCAUCAUCACGAACCAAGUUCAUUAGUGAAUGCUACGUUUGCUGCUGCUCUGUCAAGUUCUCACUAUCCGGAAGAGACGGCGAUUUGAAUUGAUUCCUAUCCAGCUGGAGGGUUACUCCUAGCACUCACCCAAGCAUCCCCCGUCGGAGAGCCAACGGGUCACCUUUGGUACGACUCAGAAAUCGCGGCUCCGAUCAGCGCCGCACUCCCAGGGCUACCACUCUGCCAGGGAGGUCAGGAAUUUUAACUCACUUGCCUUUGGUCUUAGGCCAAUGGUCCCCCACACACCGCACUUCCUCCGGUAGUGCGCACUUUAUACUUGCCGGUCUUCCGGCCUGAGUCAUACUACUAGGCUUUGCGGUCGCAACGAGUUAUCCGGCCAACUAAGUGUUAGGCUUGCGUUCAACAUGACAAAAGGACGUACAACGGUCGGUCCUUAGCUGCCACAGACGGAGUUACUACAACCUUGCAAAACUCCGCCUGGCUUAAAUCAAUUUAAUCAGGUUCCAUCCACGAUAGCACAUAUAGUCAAUCGUGAUCUGACACAACCCUAUCUCGCGCAGGUGACAGGAUAUCACCCGACUUCUACCGAUUAAAGCAUGACUAAGCCACUACUCGAUCCUAACUCUACAACUAGGUAGUGUAAGAUAUCUGGACAAGGAUUGAGUAAAAUGCAGCAAAGGUUUCAUCACAACUCCUAUACAUAAAUGCAUCAAUAGAUAUAACAUACUCAAAUAAGCUUUCGAAAGUAAAGUGAGAGACUUAAGAUGCUCCGGAGCUUGCCUUUCAUGAACGAGGCCGGCUCGUGAUUCAGGCACUCAACUUCCUCUUCGGGCUCCUCGUGUCUGGCUUGCUGGACCUCCACCUCCGGACUGAUCUCCUGACCUUCGUGAACCACUUGGAGCUCGAACGCAGUCGUUGUUUCCGGUGCACCUAUUGCAUGCAUAAAGAAUAAGAAAUGUGUGCAUACUAGAUGAGGAUGAAUGCUUGCCAAUGCAAUGAGAACUUCACUGGACACUCAUUUACUGAGUAACUUCUAAGAUAAACUCACAAAGGAUAACCAAUUAACUUAGCAAAACUUAGCGAGUCAAACUAUAAACAGCAAGCAUCACAUAACAGAACAGCUCAGUAAACAGGUCAUAACUAUUGCUAUAAAGAUCCCAUACACAUAAAUGAGGACAUUCUGGAAAGCUUAUGAAAUUGUCUACAAUUCAUCUUAAAACAUCACAGCAAGAUUCAAAAGUUAAACAAGUCAUUUAACAAAGUUCCAGGUUCUGCCCCAGGAAAACAGAGAACACCUAUUUCUGGAACCCAACUUGGAAAAGCUAUAACUUUCAAAUUAUUGGACCAAAUGAUCCCAAAAUUAAUCCACAGCUAGAUCAUACAGUUUACAACAACUUUGAUUUAGACAAGUCUUCCAGCAAACCAAGUUAUCAACAAGUAAAGGUUAGAUUACCCCCUUGCUGUCCAGGACAGCUCUUAACCCUCUAAUUAAUUAUUUGAUGACAUAACCAAAACAUAUCUAGCACCAGCCAAAUAGCUUACAAGCACAAGCAUAUCAGAAGACAAACAGAACAUCAUAUGUUAACCUUGAAAUGUUUAAUAACAAGGCAUUUAUCAAUUUAAUUCUGUAAAAGAGCAUUAAUACAAGAUACAAGCAAAAGCACUCAGAAAAAUCCACAAAAAUUACAGAAGCAUAAGUAUAGCAUCUAAACAUUACCAUAAAAUUUUCAGAGCAAUUGCACAUGCCAAAAUUAAGAUAAGCAUUUAACAUGUGACAAGGUGUUUAUUUCAUAAAUUCAGAAACAUGGCUUAUAUAGUGUCAAACAACAGAUUUUAGAUUAUUUACAUGCUAUUAAUACCAUAAACCAGUUUGACACCAAAGUAGAGCACCAGCAUAAACACCAAUUAUUUAUUAUGAUUUAAAUAAGAAAACAAGCCAUAUCUCAAUCAUAAAUUACAUAUCACAGAUGCAGUACUCCAAAAAUCAUGAAAUAUUUAUCACAGCAUUCUCAUACCACACAAAGACUACCAUCAACAUUUCAUAGAAAAAGGAGCAGUAAAAUAAAAGUUAUGAAUUUACUCAUGAAUAACAAGAUUAAAUCCUAAUAAUUAUUUUUCCCAGAAAACAUGGUCCAUUUUAUAUUUUUAAUAAAAACUAGCCAUCUCAAAGAAUCUCACAAACUUGGUUUCACAAUUUUUGGAUCUCAGAAACUGGAGAUAUGAUUUUUGCAAAGAAGCCAAAAAUCUGGAUUUGAAUAAAAGAAAAGGAGGGAAACUAAGUGUCACUGACAGCGGACCCCACGCGUCAGGUUCUUCUUCCUCAUGACCGAGACGACAUUCCCCGGCGAUUUCUCCGCGACGGUGAGGUCUCCGGUCAAACCAAGGGCACCAACGUGAUCCCCAGACCAUUGCGAACCGGUUGACCCCCUUUUCCCCACGGCGGAGCCACCGGAAGGGCCUCGCCGUCGAUCAUGGCGGCUCGGCGGAGGUGCUCGGCGUUACACCGGAGCUCUCAGGCCGGUAGAGCGUGACCUAGGGUUUCCUACAGCACCAGCAGACUACGGCGAAGCUUCCUAGGUAGGCGACUUGGCUUGAAACGGCGUGGAAUGAGCUGGCCACGAGAGAGCCCAACUCCGGCGGAAACACGGCGGCGCUGCGCGUCGUGUCCGGCGACAGUGAGCGCGGUAGAGCGUCCACAAAGUGGCGCAAACGCUUGAUAAUAAGGACCUAAGCUACCUCUAGAACCUAACCAGAGAAGACGAGAGGCUCCGAGGAGCUCGGCAUUGAGUUCGCCGGAGAAGAAGGUCACGGCGACCCAAUUUGGGGGAAAGCGGAAAUGUCGGCUCACCGGAGGGUUUCACGGCGAGAUAGCGGGUGGAGAGUGGAGAGCGGUUCACGGCGGAGCUGUGAGCGAGGUUUGGUGGACAGCAACGCAGCGAGGAGCGCGUACGAGCUCGCCGGAGUGAGCUCGCGACGGUGAGCUUGCUGCGGCCGCGUUUCUGGCGAGAGAGAGCGAGGCAGAAGGAAAUGGACGCGUCCACUUCGCCCGGGGUCUCGCCGUGGAGGUCAUGCGCGUGCUGGGAGCUGACGACCGGGGCCAAGAGCGAUGUACGGGCGCCAAAUGUCGACGGAGCUCUGUCACCGGUCGGCCACGUCGACGAGCUCGGCCUCGAUUCAGUUAAGGUGAUAACUGUGUGACAGAGCGACUUUGACGGUGAUUAACUCCCAAACCAAAGCAAGUUAGGAGAUGGUGUAGUUGACAAAGUUGGAGAACUAGCUGAGUUCUACAACAUUGUCAACUGGAGCAAGAGCCAGAUCGGCCUAGUUUGAAAGAUAUGAAGUUUUGAAAAUCGAUCAAGCAAACUGCUGCGUCCCCGGACUUCGAAAAAUUUUCUAAGUGUUGGAAACAGCCCCAAAUCUGCCUUGUGGGUCACUUUUGAGCUAGAUGUUUUCAUUUUCAUGAGAUGGACAUAAAACAACUUUUGUUCCUUAUAAAAUUUUCUACAACUUUGAUGAAGAAAGUUUUGACAUGCAAACAUUUUAUGAAACACUUUUUAAAAGCCUAAGCAAAAGAGGUUUCUAGGGCUUAUACAAGGAAGGAUGACUUAAGUGAUUAUUUUGGAUAAGUGAUCCACAUGAACAUUGUUCCUAAGGUUGAAUUAAGCAUAGAUAAACUAUUUAGCAAGGCAUAGAACACAAGCAUGAGCAUGGUUCACACAACAUAAGCAUAGGAAGCAUGAUUAAACAAGUUAGAGCACACUUAAGCAUAAAAUGACAUGGCUCAAGGUAGAUGAUGAUCAUGAUAUGCUUGAGUAGAUGAUAAUGCUCAUGUUAUGCAUGUGAUUGAUGCAACCAUAACACUGGGGUGUUACAGGACACUUGUCCAUUUUUACCUCUUGUCUCACUCUUUUUUUCGAAUCAAAUUUUUGCAUAGUCCCAUGCCUCUAAUGCAAUAAUACUUCGGAAGAGUGAAUCUUUUAUAUUUUUAAAACAAAAAGAUCUUGAUCUUUGGAGCAUGAUAAUUCUCUCAACCAAAACUACAAGAAUUAACAAUGCCUUGAACAAAGCAAGUGCCCAUAGUUUUAAUAUUUAUAUCUUAUAAGACUCUAGGUAUUAUGUCAAACAUGAUCUCUUUUUUUGAAUAUUUAGAUUUUAAAAAGAUAAAAUCUCCAGAACUCUAGUGAAACUUGGAACAAGUUAAAUAGUAGCUCAGACCUUCUCAUAUCAUGUUUGUCAAUUACCUAGACUUGGAUCAAACUUUCUUUUUAACUUAUUUAAAACUUAGGAUUACACAAAACUAUUGUAUAUUACUCAAAAGAAAAACUUUGUUUGGUUUUAUGGUUAUGCAUUUUUUUUAUUUAUUUCCGAAUACUAGUAAAUAAAACCAAGAAAGAAAAGUAAUACUUAUCUAGAUACAGUGGGGGUGCCUCCCCCAAGCUAGAUGUUGACAUAGUCGUUCACUCUUGUGGACUGCUUGUUCGGUCUCACUCUUCUUAAGCCUCAAAAUCCUGCACAACCCAAAUAGACAACAAAACUCAUGGUGUUUGUACUACCACGGGCGUCUCAACUUGUUCUGCUACGUUAGCAUCGCUCGUAGAGUCAUUCCCAACUGGUUCAUCUUGAACUUCAUCAAGAUAAACAUUUUGUCCAUUUGUCUCCCUUUUGAGAAACUCUUUCUCUAAGAAAACACUGUUUCGAGUAACAAACUCUUUGCCCUCUGUCCGGUUAUAGACAUAAUACCCUAAAGUUUCCUUUGGGUAUCCCACGAAAAAGCACUUGUCUGAUUUGAGUGUUAGUUUAUCUGAUAUAAGUCGUUUGACAUAAACUUCACACCCCCAAAUUUUCAGAAAAGACAAACUGGGACACUUACCGGUCCACAUCUCAUAUGGUGUCUUAACUACAGACUUAGACGGUACCCUGUUUAAAGUGAAAGCGGCUGUUUCUAGAGCGUAUCCCCAAAAUUGUAAUGGUAGGUUUGACUAGCUCAUCAUAGAUCGAACCAUGUCCAACAAAGUUCGAUUACGUCGCUCGGACACACCGUUCCUCUAAGGCGUUCCAGGUGGCGUAAGUUGUGGAACGAUUCCACAACUCUUUACACUGCUGCAUGUUGGGGCAUUAGCACCGGUCGGGAAGGGCCUGUUGCCCCAGUUCCCGAGCCGGUGGUGCCCUUCCAGGACUAAAGGCCCACCUUUAGUCCCGGUCCAGGGAACCAGGGCUAAAGCCCCCCCUUUAACACUGGUUGGUAAUACCAACCGGUUUUAAAGGGUCCUGCCAGGGUUGCCACGUUGCAGGACCCUUUAAAACUGGUUGGUAUUACCAACCGGUGUUAAAGGGUUUUUUUUUUUUGGUUCACUUCUUCGGUUCUGUUUAUUGUUUUUAUAUAAUAAUAAUAAUAGGUUUUUCAAUACAUAUUUUUUGCUGAUACAAUAAUAUAUUUAUAUUACACGCAUAUUAAGCAUAUAUAAAUGAAAAUUAUAGGCUUAGCUUUAUAAUUAAGCUUUGCCUAUAAUAAAAUGAAUAGGCCACAUAAAAAAUUAAAUAGAUACGUAAAAAACUUUAUAUAUAGUUUUAUAAGUACAAAAUUUGUAACACAUAUAUACAUAGAGUUUUUUCUCCCAAUGUCUAAAACCGAUAUAAAUGAUCAUCGUUGUUUCGAAUAAGAGUUUCGGUGCUAUUGAAGUGAAACUCGCCGUUUGGAUUGAUCACUUGCUCGUGGAGAAAUCCUGCUAUCGUCUCUUGGAUAGCUUUGAUUCGGUCUUUUUGCAUGACCUUUUCCCUCAACCAUUCCGUCUGUAAUUUGAAAUAAAUAAAAAGGUAUUAGUUAUCUAAGUUAUUCAAUAUAAUUCAGGAGAUAAUGAAAAGAGACUGUUGACGGUCUUUAAUGCUCAUAUUUAACAAUCAAUCAAUCAUGGAAAAGGAUCCAAAUGCAACCAACACCUAGACUUAGGGUUUUAUCUGACAGAAUUCCACGAGUUUUGGUGUUUGUCUAUUUCUGCAGGGGGUUAUCAGGAAAUACGGAGAAAAUGCCCACACGUCGGGUUUACAUAGAGAUAUUAACAUGCUACGCAAUUUUCUAUCAUCUAGAAGACUCUAGAAGCCACGAGACCGAAGCGGAGGCCGAGAGGGCUCAGGGACAGGGCGCCCGCCCUAGUCCUAAGGGCGCCCGCCCACCUGUGUUGCCCAAGCAGAGUCCAAUUCAGGGAUUACGCUCCACCGACCUAAAGGAUCAACAAUAACUGUUCAAUCAAUGUCGGUUUGAUCCAACGGCCCAGAUUCAUCUGAAAAGACUAUAUAAGCAAGGCCCCCGGCCCCUGGAGAUCAUACCUCUUCUACAGAAUCAAAGUUAGGGUUUCAAUUCUUCAUCCAAGUUGAGAGGAUCCCUCUAGUUCUUCUAGUUCUACCUCUAGUUCAUCUAGAUCUAGUUCUAGUUCAUCUAGUUCUAGUUCUAGUUCCUCUAGUUCUAGUUCUAGUUAGUUCUAGUAGUAAUCUAGAAAAUAGGGAGAGAGAAGAGGAGAGCGGAGGAGGAGGAGCCGGAUCUGUCGGAUCUUCCUCAACAUUGUACUUUUGCAGCAACUGGUUCGUUCUUCAUCAUUCUCCAGGUUCUUCAAUUCAUAAUUCCUGAGUUCUUUAAUUACUUUUAUUUACAUUCAAGUUAUUUAUUGGAUUCCCGCUUGCAUCAAGUGCUCUAAACUUUGAAACAUUAGAGUAGUAAUUAAUAGAUUAGACGUGGUGUUUAGUCUUGCAAUUACCUGGAAUUGCACCCAAUCGUGCGGAUUGUUGUGGUAGCCCUAGGGUAGUGACAGCCCUAACGGUCGACGUAUUCCACCUCGUUCGGAUCGGUGUUUGUAGGACCGUAGUCAGACCUUCCUAGCCCCCUUCUCAUCUCUUUUUGUGGUUAGUGCUCUGAUGUCCCGAUAUAGAUAAUCUUGAAGUAAUUCUUGAUUCUUAGAUCAACUAGAGAACUCUCAGGAAACUUCCUCUCUUCCCACCAAAAAAAUAAUUAUAUAGUUAUCCUUGGGCGAUUUUGGAUCUUAAUUAGUACACUCACGUUCUCUGUGGAAAAUCGAUACUCUGGAAUACUCCUGGGUGAAAGCUACAUCGGUAUCCGUGCGCUUGCGGAUUUUUCUGUUUGCGUUUAAAAUACCCAACAAGCUUUCUGGCGCCGUUGCCGGGGAACGGUAGAUGUGCUAGUUUCGAACCAAGUCGUCUGUGUAUCCUUUUUCUUUUCCUUUUUCACCACACUCACCUUAUCAUUUUCACCAUACCACAUGUAUUUCACUCUUAGCAUUAAUGAGCAUGGAAUUUCUUUCAUAGCCACUUCAUUUACUCCAUGCUCAUAUGCAACAUCUUCCAAUCCAUUGGUCUCUCCAACAUCACCACAUUCGAGAUCCCCAACCCCCUCUUCCUUUCUAUUUAUAAAAACUUUAAAAGGGCGGUUGUCGAUGCAUAUGUUUAUAAUAAAUAUUGCAGAUCUCGUUGAGUUGAUCUUGAUAUAGGUCAGUGUUGGAGGGGAAACCACCUCGCCGACAUAAAUUGAUGGUUUCCCAAGGACAAGCUUAGUGUCCUAAAACAUGCACUGAUCAGAUUGUAACAUGAGCUUUUAAUUAUUUGCAACAUUACCUUGUGUGUUGAGCAUAUAAGGAUAAUUGUAAAAUAAAUUCCUUCGGGUAUUAUUGUCACUAACCUUUCCAGGAUUGGAGCAAGAAGAUCGGAUGAAUGACAAGCACAAGGUAUGUCCAACCAAUCAUCAUACAACAUUGAAUUAAAUUCAUUCAAACUUGAAUUUUACAAAAUUCAAGCUUGGGGGAGUACUUUACAUAAAAACAUCCUUUGCCAUGUUGCUAUGUUGGUUGUCCCUACCUUUGAGACAUGCUCAAUUUUUUUAAAUACUAAUCACACUACUUCAUCUCCACUUGAGUAGAUCUCUAUAAAUACUCUCAUGCUACCUUUAUUUGCUUUAGUAUAUGUCUAGGUUUGGAGUAGUUUCUUUUAUCUCAUAAUUAAGCCUGGUGCUUAGUUUAGGGCUGAUGAUCUUACUUCCAAGGGAGUUUAAAUUAAGCAUGAUGCUUAGGUGAAAAUACCCUCCUAAAUCAAAUUAGACAUGGUGUCUAGGUUGAUCUUUGAGCCGAUAGUAUGCUAUAGUAGAUAUUGGAUAUUUUGUUGGACUAACCCCUACAGGAAAACUUUGAAUAUCGACCUGGGAAGUCCUGAGAUAAACUCACAUUGGAGACAAAGAGAGAGACGCAUGAAGGUUAACAAUUUACACAAGGAAGGCAUAGCUCACAAGAGAUGAUCCAUGGAGGGUGCCACAAACACGAUGCACAACCGAUAAGAAAGGAAAGCUUCCACAAGGUGAUACAGUAUCAUCACUCUUCAUGUAAGGUAACAUCUUAAGGUAAUUGACUAUGACUUUUUAUAAGCUUCUCCUUGGUUCUGGCAUUCACAUGGAUAAAAGAGACAAAAAUGUAUGAUUUACAACUCUAGAUUAACCAACCCAAUUAAGUCAGCAUGUUUAGUCCUUUAAUCUUUGUUUAUAGUACUACGUACGUGAUCCCACACUCCUAAUCAUAUAAGCUAAAAUGUUGCACAUUCAAUCUCUGGAAGAUAUAAACAAAACUUAAGUAUAGAUAGAUUAUCUUUCCAUUAGGUUGAGUGAUCUAAUGUGACAAAUGUUUUAAAUGCUACACUCAUGAUCUUAUUAUCUAUCAACUUUGUCUUGCUCACUAUGCUUAAGGUUAGAGAAGAACAAAUACACUUUUGGUUCUGUUGGUGUUUUCCACCAACAGGGCCCAUGCACUUGAUCUCUGCCUUGUCUCUAUGAGCAGGUACACUUCGAGCAAUAUAUGAAGGACUUUUACAACUCUGAGACUCCACCAAGUGAAGAACCUAGAUCUACAAGCUCAAACACACUGGAGAUACGGGACACUCAGGCAAUCACUGCCCCGAGAUGCUUAAGUACGUAACGUCUGGAGUAACCCUGUUGUGGGAGUAAUUACUGACCCUCUGCCAGUCAAGAGAGGCGAUCCAGGACGCCCCGUCAUCCCGAUCUCCAUCGGCAUGGUGGACUUCCCAGAAGCACUCUGCGACUUUGGCUCCAGCGUCAACAUUAUGCCCAGGGGAAUAUUGAAGAACCUCUACGUCCGAGUUGGUACCUUGUACGCCCCAGCAGACUUCGUGGUGAUAGAGACUGGUACUGAUGAGAGGGCACCCAUCCUAGGGAGGCCAUUCCUGAAAUACCUCAGGAGAUGUCAUCUACGCUAGUGCUGCCAAGAUCUGUUUCUACAUCAAGGGGAGGAAGGAGAUGUUCUCCUUCAAGAAUAAGACUACACAAAUCUCAAAGCAAUCCCGACAUGAACCAAGGAAGAGGACCAACAGGAGGAACAGAAACAAGCAAAUGUGGACCGAGUAAGCUAAGAUGGUCACUGCAGUUCAAGGAGGUCAAGAUCGUUGACUUAAGUCACCGUUCCUGACCAGAAAGGACGACCGAGUCACCUAUCAGCUCCUAUUCGGAACCAUGCCCCUAAAACCGACAUACAUUCAGUUCCAGAUGGCAGAUCAGACAUUCUGAAAGGUUGAAGGAGAAGACGAGUACGAUCCACCCAUCAUCCUUAUGAGUCCUUUCCUCAGCAUCGUUAAAGCAAUCAUCUACAUUGGAACCGGAGAAGUCCACAUACACUUCCCCUCUGAGAAGGUACGCCGCUAUUUUACUGACCCUAACUAUAUAGUUGAAGACUCUAAGCAGGUUAGGAUAAGAAGAAGACGACGCAACCACAACCAGAGGAGGCAAAUCAUCAAGGACAGAUGGGCAGACUACGAAGGAGAAGUGAUAAGGUCUGAAGACAUACAGCUUGAACAGAACUGUCCUAAGGAGACCGUAGCACCGAGUUAGGUGUGGAGAGAGAAGAUAGUUAUACACGAAGAGGAGGCGCCGCCAGAACCACUGACUACGCCAUCCAGCGAAUCCCACGACGACUGAGGAAACGGAGAGUCCCGUUCGGAGGACUUAAAAACACCGAAUGCCUUGCCAAGAGGUAAACUUGGUAGUUAUCCUUUUUCCUUUCAAUUAUUUUAAAAUAGUUUGCUUAGUUAAUCAGGUUCAUAUCAUCUUGAAAAGAAAAUAAAAAUGUUAAAAAUAGUAAGCCCCAUGUGAGUAUGCUCAUGGCAUAAAACCCAUAAGUACAUUCACUGUGGUGGCAUAAAAAUGAAAUAAAUAUAUUUAUGUGCUAUAAAAAUGAAAAUAUAAAAAUAAAAUUAUGAUCCUAUUAAACAGAGUAACAUUUAUUGAGGAGGCUCAACAUGAUAAAGGCUAUAUAUUUAUGCUAACACUUAACCAGUUCCACAAAGCUUUGUUGUCUAUUUGAGCUCCACUGAAUUCAAGGAUCAAAGAAGACUAGCAGACGGAGGACAUCCUAAUCGCUGUCAGGGUGCUGCCGACAUUCAAAUACACCUCCGCCACCUGCUAGCUACAUCAGAAGAAAUUACGUCAAAAUUCAGCUUGGGGGAGAGCACCCCAUUUAUCCAGCUAAGUGUUCUACUCAUGUUUAUACUUUACUCAAAUAAUAAAAAGAUGCAUAAUCAUAAAAACCCAAAUAAAGAUUUUGUGCUUAUAUAUAUAUAUAUAUAUCUUUGCUUAGUUUCCUAAAUAAAUAAAUAAAUAAAGUUUGCUAUGAACCAUCAUGAUAAGCUCUCACAUGGAAAUGAUGAAUAGUUGCUCUACCAUGACUAGUUCUUAAAAUUGAAAUCUUUCUCAAGUUUAGGCAUGACUGGUAUUAAUUAACAUUUGCUCUAAACCUAAACUUGUGGGGAGAGUACUUGAUCUAAAGUCUAAGUCGUUAACGGAUACGAUAUGGUAAUGUUGAGCUGUUGUUUAUCUGUUCCUAGAGAUGCUAGAAUUCUGGAGAACUUUAUCUUUGAAAAUUUUUAAAAUGUUGCAUGAUGAGUUCCUGUAUGAUGAGAGUUCAAAUUCCUACCACAGCCAUAUAUACAUGCUUGCUAGACUUUGAGCCACACAUUUUUUUACUGCUUAUGAGCAUUGAGUGUGGUCAAACUGUGUAGACCCUUAGGAGCUUGUCAUGUGGUUAAGUCAAGAUUCACUUGCACGUUCACUCACACAUGCUGCUUCUACUCCGGAAGUACGCAUCCACAUAUAUCCACCCAUUUCCAUCUCUAGAACCACCCAAAAAUAUUCUACUCCUAAUCCGGGAGAGAAUAGCCAAAAACAUUCUCCUAUUCCUGUUUUUCCCUGUGAAAUAAAUGCUCAAGAUAUUUUGGUUACUACCACUUGCUACAUUAUUCUAGGAGGAUGAGUGCUCUGAAAAAAAAGUGAAUAUGAGGAAAUAAAAAGGGGCAAGUGCCCGGAACCUCGAAGAAAAGAAAAAGUGAGACGAGAGGUAAAAAUGGACAAGUGUCCGACAGUAGAAUUAGGGGUACAAGAUACCCACCUGAGAGAAAAGAAAAAAAAGAAAAUAUGGAGCAUCUCAUUCCCCUCAAAAAGCUUCAAAGUGCAAGAAAGGUAUGUAUCCCCUCAAAAGAGCAAACGUAGAAUUAGACUUUCAACAUUGUUAUCACCAUCAUCACCAUUGUUAUCACCAUUCAUUCGCCACACAUGCACAUCUUGAUUUGACUUAUUGACUUGAUCUUCUGGAUCCAUGGUUUGACUAUGCAAUAAAUGUCUUGUAAGUAUGUAUUAGCUGUCUCCCACCUAUGAGCUCCAGAUAUCAAAACCUUAUUAGGGUAGGGUGAGAGAGAAGCCAAUACCACUAUGCCUCAUACUAAAAAUACGACAUACUUUGAGAGUAGGCAUACACCAUUAUUGCCUUGGUAAGGAUCCAGAAAUACCACAAAAGAGAGACUAGAGAGAGUCAUACAAGGAAUCUCUGAGUUUUAUUUCAAAAUCUGCAAAAACUCCAGAGCUAUAGUUGAUCAAGAACAAGAGACAUGGCGCUUGACUAGACCGUUCUAUCUUUUAACUACUCAAGACAUAGGUGACGGUUGCCAGCCCCAUGGUGAAAGGUAAAAUGAGUAAGUUUUAAAUCUUAACAGUUUAUCCUAACUCAG